UGUUUAGGGAGAAACUGACAGUGAGGAUAUUCGCAGUAGAGGUAAGAUAGCGCAUUAUUAGAUAAGCAGUUUGAGGCUCAUACACAUGUUUAGUCGUUUCUAUGGCUAACCCAGUUUGGUCGUGCCUUUCAGUAACUUCUUUGUAUUUUAUCCCUCCUCUAUAGUGAAGGUAUACACAUAUUUCACUUGUAAGAGUUUUGCACUUUCUAUUAGUUGUAUAUUCUCUCCAAAGUAUUCUUUUAAAGGUUGCAUGAAAGUCAUAGUUAAGACUCGGAGGUAGAGAAAGGUUAAAAAAAGUUUUUGUUUAACGUGAAAUCAUGUCGGUAACUUUCUCUACAUGAAAAGCUGACUUCUUGAAGUAUUGUUCUUGUUGAAAUAAAGCACUUUGAGUCUGCAGGCAGUGGAACAGUUGAACAAUGAGCUGCCAGAUAUAUCUGACCUGCUGACCACACACACCAUGUUAGCUUCCAAACCUCAGGCCAUGCUCUCGCCAAGCAACCCACACGAACAACUCCACUUCUCUCUAAUGAAUGGACAGACCUGUUAUGUAUCAUACAUGCGAGCCUUUCCCACGAUCCACAUCAAACAUUCAUAAUUAUAUUAACUUUGUGUGGGGUACAAAGGGAAGAGUUAGGUUUCAGUUUCUUGAUUUGGUUGCGGUGUUUAACUUCCAAGUGGUCGAAUAUAUCCGUCAUUGUUGUCGAUUGUGAGUGCUGUGUUUUGACAUGAAAUCCCUUCACACAUGAUGUGUGCUCUUUGGCCAGGUUUUUUUGUUGUUGUUGUGUUGAUCUGCAGGAGGUGGUGAAUCUUUUCAUAGCUGAUGGCUGAGACAAGGUGGAAUCAGAUAGCCUGACCACUGCAAGUGAUCAAUAUGGGAUGGUGCGGUGUGAUAAGUAAUGGCUGUCAUGGGGCACUCAUUCAAGAAAAUGAAAGCCCAUCUCCCAAGUCCAAAACAACAGAAUUCAAUCAUUUGUCUGCCCCAGGCAAACAGUGAGGACUGGUUUAAAGAGAAAUAACAUCAAAGAGGAUUACAGCAAAGCUCCCAAUGAUGAGCUUGCCAUCUUAAUGCUCCUUUCAAGAAGCACAUAAAAGGUCAUAGUCAUAGAUUUUUGGAGGCACAGCGUCAUGCUCGACACAAACUUUAUCUUUCAGUAUCAAACACCCUCCUCUUGAGUGCGAGCUCUGAGGAGUUGAAUAUUUGAAAACCUUCUCAAAGCAGUGAGAAACAGUGUAUUUACAAUGACAGAAAUGUACUGAGCGUGGAUGGAUGCUUCGGUCUUUUUACAGCCAUGAAAAUUUGUAGCGAGCCUCCAGAGGGCUUCAUCACUUCUAGGUGAUGAAGUAAAUCAUCAUGUUCCCUCUUCCUUAAGCUAACUCACCAAAGUAAAUGUUUUCCUCGUGUAGUGCCUCAAACAAUAAAUCAGUACGGGUGGGCUGAUGUUCCUUGGCCUCUCUUUUCUCUCACUCAAGCUCUCACAUAUUCACACACACACACACGCUAACACACACAUGCAGCACAGAGAGACAGUAAUCCUCUUAAACUGCUUUUUAAGCAACCAUUUGUCAUCUGGCUGUUGCAUCUUGGGAAAAUUGCAGCCCUACAGGAGGAGGAGGAGGAGGAGGAGGAGGAUGUGGAGAAUGACUGACUGAGAGAUAGCAGGCACAGUCAUGUAGCCACCUUUUGUAAAUGGCCACUUUUCAGCGUCAUUAAAGAGAAUCCAAUAGUCCGAGAGUGGCAGCAAACAUCCCUUCACAUAUCUCUCUUCCUAAUUGCCGGCGCUGCUGCACUCUCUCUUAAAGCUAUAGGUACAUCAAGAGGGGUUUGAUGUACCAAACCUAUUAUCUUGAUCAUUAUUCUGCAUUUGUAAGAUAUUAGCAUUGGCUCAAAAGAAGGAUUAACAUCAUCAUUUUUUCUCCUGGUGGUCUUUGCAGUCCUCCUCGCCACUGGCACGGUAGUUACGCUAAGGCAGCCGUAUCUGUUCUUAUGACUUUGGUCAAUUCAUGUAACCUGACCAUGAGUGUUAUCUCCGGGGUAUUUUUCCAGUUAUUUUUCCAAACAUAUGCUGAAUAGAUUUCUUAAAAUUUGGUACGUUUGUGUUGUUUUGGUGCUUUGGCAUUUUUUAUUUUGCCAGAUUAUAAUCAAAACUUUAGAAAGCAAACAGCAGGUGCAGCACUUGUCAUUUUUUAGUUUGAGUCUUUUCAUGCUGCUCAAACCUUUUUGAGGAAAAAAACAACAACAACAACAACAACAACAAAAAACUGCUAAACCUGCUACGAUUCACAAAUCAUCACGCUGCACAAUCAAUUCAGGAAGAGGGCAUUCAUCAGACUGGCUUGGUUCGACUGCAGAUGCCCUCCAGAGAAAGAACAACACUUUUGACCCUUCAGCAAUGCAAUGUCAACACAGUUUUUACCCAAUCACCCAUCUUCCAGACUGAUAACACUGAAUGAUUGCAGAGUGGGUUGUGAUUUAACUGAAUUUAUGUGGAAAUAUAUGUAUAUUUUUACUUCCUAGUGGGCUUAUUGUAAUAUUUAAGUUUUUUCACAUUGUUUUGACACUAUCUGUGAUGGUCUUAACUGUGCAAUAUUGAGCAAUUGAUGGGCAACACUGUCCGUAAGUAGAGAUAAAGAGUGAUCAAUAAAGCAUGCAUGGAUACUUUGAAUAGGAAAAAUACUUUUAGAAUUUGCCAUCUGGUUGGUUGAAAGUUCAGUAAAGGUGAAUCAAAUGUGAAAGUUCAAGGUUUGGCUUAAAUUUUUUUGUAUUAUAUCACUGCAUACAGCAUAAAUGGUGCAUGACAUACUGAAGCCUCAACUGUAAAUCAGGCAAAGCGGGUGAUAAAUGUGGGAUAUAGUCAAGUAAACAGCAGCAGUUUUCCAUCACUUAAUGUUGUGGAUUGUUGAUUGAAUUAUUCAACACCAAACAGGUUAAGACGAGUUUGUGUGCGGUCUUCUUAAAGUAUUAUUGUACUGGCUCCAUUCUGUCUCCAAGUGAAGAUUGAUAUGUUUUCAGCAUUAGUCCUGUAAUGAAGCAUAGCAGAUACUGACUCCUCUGUUAUUUAAGUAAGAAUUUUGGCGCAUUAACUCGCCUGAUCUUGGUAUGUUGUCUUUUAUGAGAGGAAUUUCACUCAGACAAAGCUGUAAAUGUUUUUUUUUUUUCUUAAUUCUGCAGCCUGGCAACACAGCCUCAUGUUAGCUCUGAAGAAAAGCAAUUAAGCUCAUUACUGUCUCUGCAUUCCGCUUGCCAACAUUGAAAGCACAAAAAGUGCCACAGAGCUGUGUCAUUUCAUGCGCUAAUUUCCUCACUUUGUACCAGAGUUAGGACGGAGAUUGGCAGUGUCAGCAAAAUGCACUCGCAUAUUGACCAUUUUACAAUUUAGCCACUUAUGUGAAGUUCUAUUGAGUUGUGCUAACUGGGGUACAGGAAACAAUGAGUUCAGGUACAGAUUUUUGCAAUGUAUUUAACAAAGCUGUGGACUGAAAUGAUGGUGUUCUGUUAUUCUGCAGCUUGGAUAGGGAAAAUCUGAUAUUAAUGUGAAAAUCAUAUUUGAUCACACAUUAGUUAGUCAUCAUAAGGAACAUCUAAUGGUAGUGUAGUUUCAUACAGAUCUUACAAAGUAACAUAACAGAAUAUCAACAUUUAUUUUUACCUCUUCCUAUUGAUGCUGUCCAUCAAGUAGGUCCUGUUUGAGAGGAGAACUCUACAGGACAAACUAAAGCUGAAAGAGUUCGGUCCGGCGUAAAGCAUGGCUAACUGGAAGUCGAAAGUGUAAGGCCCUUUUUUGUUUCCCGUGUAAAUUAAUGGUGACAAAAAGAAAUGAUAAAGCUGGCAAAAUAAAAUUUCGGCAACUGAAACAGUCAAUCAGCAAAAUCUGUUAGUAGAAAAGUAGAGUAUAUAAAGAUUAAAACCUAAUAUAAACCAUAAAUUUAUUAUAGUGAGACAUAAAAGCCAGACUAAAAUGAAAGCUAACAGACAAUGUUCAUGCCACAGUGUUAGAAAUCAAUACAUUUUAAGGCAGGAUGAAAACGUCCUUGAAAAGUCCUGGAAAAUGAUUUCUAUGAAAGAGUGGGAACCCUGUAUUUGUUCCAGUUCUCAGUUCCAAUUCAGUUCAGCUGAAAUAUCAAAUGUAAUAAAACUGUUCUGUAUUUAAAGCAAAUGUCACUUUGAUAUGCAGCCUGGUUUGUUAUAAAUGUGGGUCUGCUCUUCACGAUUUUUCUGCAGUUGUCUUUGUGUGCUCCUUUUGCUGUAGCCUAACCUGUUGAGAUGCAGGUGGAUGUACACGAGUAAGAGUAUGCUACUGUCAGUUUCUUUAUCAUAGGAUAACAUUGAAUGUAGGUAGGCUGUGUGUCAGCUAUAAUGCCCUAUUAAUAAGUUGAAAUACAGUAUCCCCACCCCAGUUGUCUGUGUAGGUCAACAUCGUAUGUUUCCUUAAUUAUUUUAUUAGAAAGCACCAGAAUGCUUCAUUUACCUUUUGAGAAAAAAAAAAAAUCUCCUGGGGGAGGAUACCCCCAGACCCCCCCCCCUACAGGGUUCUGGUUUCCAAAACCUCACCCCACCUAUUAUUUUUCUCACCAGUCGCCACUGCUUGGAUCAAAUUCAAAUCAACAUUAAAAAAAAAAAAAAAUCUGUUUCAGUGUUUGAUAUGUUGUCUUUGCUUAAUUCUUAACUAAAUACAUCAUUCUUACACCAGCAACUAAGCUUUCAUCCUAAUUGUUUAGGGAAUUAAACAUCUUCCAAAUUAAUUCUGGAAGGACUCAAAGGAAAGUGUUUUCCCAAAGUCCCAAUUUAAAGUACCUCGAAAUCAAAAGCAGGAGUUUGCAUGCACAUAUCUUGGAAAUGGAUAACAAAGAAAGCUUUAAACAGCCUGUAGUAACGCAGUCCAAAUGCUUAAAUCCAAUUGAAAAUCCUACCUCUGAUAAGAAAAAAUAUGAAUCAUAGUUUAGGAUUUUGGGCUAGUCAAUCAGAUUUCAAGACUGGGCCCGUGCCCCCUCUAACUACUCUUCUGAAUGCACCCCUGAUGUUUGUAAGGAAAUGGUUGAACAAUGCAGUUGUGGUGAGGCUAAUGGUACACAAUCGGUGAUUAGAUGUGUGCAGCUCAGUUCGAUUGCAAGUUUCUGCUGGAAAAGCAAUAUUCAAUUGAUCAGUGGAGUGGGAAAUAAUCUGGUAUAGGUAAACGGGUAAAGCAGUUUACUCGUACAGUUUGGAGCUUAGUGCUUGUGAAUGUUUCUUGUACUGCUUAGACAGCUGAGAGCUUUGUUGGUAGGCAUAGUUUCAGUUCAUCAUGUGUUGGUAACAUCAGUCAGACAAUACCAAGCAACAAUAAUAACAGUUAAAUUAUAUUAACAGCAACAAUUAUAGCUGCUGCAUGCAUAAAUGUUCUGUUGUUAUUCCUGCCACUGUGGCAACUCCAUCCAAUGACAUAUUACAGAGACUAAGUGUUUUACCAUCCCUAUCGUGAGAGAAUUGGGGGAGCAGUGCAGAGCUCGUGUGAGUGAACCAGAUCAUUAUGUCAUAGAAAAGCUCCAUUUCAGCCCCAAACCACUCUGCGAAACUUUGAACCCAACCACUCUGGAAGCUGUGAUUCACUCCUUCCGUCUUUCAGCUAUUGCUUUUGUAUCUGCAGUCACGAAACAAUAAACAUCGCUGACGAAAACUGGCAUGUCGGGUUUGAAAUGCAAACAAGAGCAGUUUAAAGACUCAUUUGGUUGUUUUCAACAGCAGUGACACAUUACAGUUUUUGGUCCUGUAUCUGCCAAUAAUCCUGAAAACAUUUGUAAGUGAUUUGAGAGAGAAAUCUGGAGUUGUAUUUUGUGGAAACUUGAGUGUGGCCUUUUAGGAAGCCUCGCUGAAUGAGGUUGAGGAAGUCUGAGAGAGGCUAAAAUAGUACCUUAGAGGAAGGAAGUGGGGUGGAUGGACAGAAGUGGUCAACAAACCCUUAGUUGCUUUUUCACCUGACACACUGUCAAGAUGCAGACAGCAUGGAGGAGGCGGCGGAUGGAGGGGUGGAGGGAUAGCAGUCUGAGGGAAGGAAAGGAAGCCCAGGCCAGGCCCUGAUAACGGAGAGCUGUCGGGGCUCAGGAGAGAAGUGGGAGACAUUAGCCAAAUCCGGACGGAUCACAAGCCUCUGGAUGCAAUCCAGUUUUGCGGGGCUGCGAUAAGGAGGCUGAUUAUGUGUCACCCAUCAAUUCGCCCGCCUCCCGCCGCUGUCUCCCCAGCCAUAAAUCCACUCAUGACAAGCUCUGCUCCUCGGCAAUCACCCCUCUCCACUUCCUCCCUCUUGCCUUCCCUCUGCUCACUGCUGUCUGCACUCUGCUGGCAGAGGUUUGCUGCAGAGAGAAAGUGGAGACGCAGAGAAGCGGAUUAAGCAAGUCUGGAAGUGACUGCAAGGAUUGGGUCCCAAGUAAUAGAGAUUUAAUUGAUAGAUCCUUUCUUAGACAGUCAAUCUUUUUGAUAGGCUGUAAUGCGGUGUUAGGAGGUGUCGAUAAUGAUUAAUGUAAGGCACUUAAGAGUGAAGCAAUUAAUGAAAACGCCAGGAUCAAGAAAAUCUAAGCAAGGACACGUAAAUUUCAAGAUAUUUCUUCUGUCUAUAUGCAAUAUCUAGGUGAUAAUAAUCUGAGAAACCAUCAUCAGGAAUCAUGUGCUGCUUUUACUUGGCAUAUUGUAAAAAAAACCUCAUGAUGUGGAUGUACCACACGAAAUGCCUUUUUGCUUUUUGCCCUUGAACUAUAUUGGAUUACCAACUCUUUAUCAGAUCUAUCUCUAAUUCCCCAACGCUGAUUAUAAAAUGUUGAUGGAUCUUGAUGUAGCUAUCCCCUUUUUUCAGCUUUCACUGUAAUCUGUUAAUUAUAUAGAUAAGUAUUUGGGUUGUGGCUUGCGUUGCAUGAUAUUGCAUACAACUCCUCACGAAGAUAUCAGUGCCGGCAUAAUAUUUUCCCCCGCACGCACACAAAGUUUGCCUUAAAUAGUCCCUUCAAAGUGGCAUCCGCAAAUUAUGACCAGUUAAAUGCUUUUAGCACUUAUUAAUUACAUUAGGUAACUAAAUUGGGCAGCCGAGGUUUGAUUUAUUACUCAGCUAACUAGUUUUGUCACUCGGGGAAUAUGCAGAUGGGGGCGGAUGUUAGGGUGUGCACGGAGAGAAAGAUAGAGAGAGACAGCGUGGCCAAACUGCGCCUGACCCUCACACAUAUAUCCUCACUAACCUGCAUCUAAAAGUAACAGAUUCCUCCUGACCCCCCGAGGCUGAAGAUGAAUUCAUAGAGAUGAAAGAGGACAGAGCGGCGUAUACUUUUGCACUCAUGGGUCAGUGACCAUCACUCCUCUUUCACUUUUUAACAGGCUGUGCUCUUCACAGUUUUUUACAUAAAGUGUGAGUAAUUAUUUGCUGUUAAUGACCAUGAGCUUUAUGAAGUAAUUCCAAUAAAUUAGCAAAGGCCUUUCAGGAUGAAGGACAUUUUUUUUUUAUCCAACAAAGGAGUGAUGACACUGAUUUUUCCUGUCAUCAUUAAUAUUGAGUGCAACAGUUUUUCUUUUAUUGUUGGCUUAUAUUAGACCAGCUAUGAAUUUUAAAACCCCAUACAACACUGAGAGUUUCUAAAUGGCGUCACGUACCGCACAAACUUUAUUUUGAAGUGAAACCAAGAAAGUUUUAAAAACAUGUUUGAUAUUUAUCUUUUCAAAAUGGCUAAUGACAGUUUCAUCUCAAGAUGUAAUAAUGAUGCAGAUUUACAUUUUGUGACUUUAUAUUGUAAACCUUCAAGUUAAAGUGUUUUCUGUGUCUUGGCGCCCUCUUAUUAACUGACUAACUAACUAAACCAAAUUCUCUUUAUUCUGUUUUUUUUUUUAGGUGUGUUUUUUGCAUCAUGAAUGACUCUCAUUCAGCAGCCCGAUUUAUCGCAGCUGUGUCUCAAAGAGGUAAGAGAGUUUCAUAUUCAAGACUUAAUUUGGCAAAUCUUAAAAAAUUAAAAUUCAGUGUCAGAGAAGUCAGAAAAUCUUUCAGCGAGUUGCUGUCAGCUUUACACCUUCUUUCACACGUUGUCGUGAGUUAAGUUCAUGGAGAUAGAGACAAAAAUAGGACUUUCAAUUUUAAUCACUUUUCCUGCAAAACAAAUGAUUAGUCAGAGCUGGAUUACAGUCGAUGUGUUACACUGUUUUUGCUGCUUUUUUGAGAUUUCAUUUCCAUUUUUGCUGCAGCCUUCUGAAUAUUAAGCGUGAGGCUCCAAUGAAGACACACAAAGUCUUAUUUAUUUCUGCCAUUAGCCAAAGGCUGUAGACAAAGAAAAAGACUUACAUCUAAAGUUUGCAGAGAGUUUGUGUGGUUUGUAAAAAGACAGAGCGGCGCAUUAUAAACAUGUCUUUUUUGUUCCUUUUUACAUGUGUGAAGUAACGUGUUUGAUUGGUUGUAUACUCCAGAGUCUUCUUCAGACAAGACUGUACAAAACACUUUGGAUUAAAGUAUAUUGCAAAUUCUUGUCAAGCAAAAGGGUACAGAUAAUUUUACAUUUUGAGCACAUUUGAGAUGUGUGUGCGAUGAUAGUUGAAACUGAGUUUGGGAAAGCAGAAAGGUCAGUCAGUCUAAAAUUUCCUUUGCAUUAUUUGGAUUUCAGUCAUAUUUUUUGCAGUUUGUUCCAUUUUUGAAUCAGUUAAAAUGUAAUAUGUUCAUAUUUUGCUUGUUUGCUCUCACUCAUGGACAUAGUUGAUUUUUAAUCUCCUCAUAUGUUGUAUAAUAUGAAUGGCUUUUUUACUUUAAAGGCCAAUGACCACAUGUGUGAUAUCAUCAUCAUUAGAUUUGUGAUGCAUUGUACCCCAAGUAAUUAUGCACAGGGACCGAGGACUGACCCCUGUGCAACACCACAGAAAAAAGCUUAAAUACUUCCAGAUGUAAGUGUCUUUAAGUACACGAAGAAACUUCCAAGUUCAGGCCCUGUAUUUGCAGACUACAUUUUCAAGAGAUCAGGCUGAUAUUGACCUGCAAUUGCACAUUUUUAUUAUUUGUUCAUUAUCAUUUUGUAAUCCAGUUUGAACAGCACACGAGAGGAAGGUGAGGGAAGCACCAGACUGUAGAGGCAUCAAUAAUAUGCUGAAGAUCAUGGCAAUCAGAGCCAAUCGUCCCUUUACACCCAAGGACGGGAUGCCAGCUAGGCCUUCACAUUUGUCACAUGAACUCUUAGAGUGAAUUCUCACAAUCUUUUUCCGUUUUUGCUUUGAUGAAUUGCUGUCGCGCUCUCUCCACACCCGUUUCUCUCCUCAACUGCUGCCUUAUGUGCAGCCCCCAGUCAUUGCUGCCCCGUCUAAUAACUCUUUCCAUGUUUAAGCAAAGCGAGUGCCUAAUAGACUGCUCUCAAAUCACACAUCAGGGGACGCUGGAGUGAGCUGAAUGUCACACUGCAUUUAUCUCCUCCUUGCCCCCCGACCAACCCAUCUACGCUGGGACCAUUAUUUAACCUGAGAGAGGUCAAAUCCUCCCUGUAAGGCUUUAACAGAGCAUGAAUUAAGCUAAAUAGUGUAUCCAUCCAUUAAAGUAGCCAUUGGCUACUUCAAAAGCUCUUGGAGCACUACCAUCCUGCAUCGCUUUAUGGGUGUCACAGACCAAAUGGGCCGACGGCGGGUGUGCCUACAAGCAUGUGACUCCCCUUACCUGCUGGAUGAGGGGGGGGUUGAAGGGCAAGAGGAGGAUAGGGGGCUGGGAUUUUGCUGGGUCAGCACUUGGCAUGCUAUAAGGGGAGUAAUGAGCCUUGGAGAGAGAUCUUCCCCUCUGCAGUCUGUGCUUCAUAUUAGAUUUGGGAGUAUUCAUCUGCUCAGUCUUAUGUCUUGAUUUUGUCUUCGGUACACUCUCUGUAUUUUUGUAUUUCUUGGUGUUUCAUAGUCUUCCAGACGUGACUCUUUGCCUUAGUACAUUUUGUACUUAAAGCAACAUGGAAAUAAAGAGAAAUGCUUGACUCAUUCAAAUCCAUCAAUAACUUCCUUAAACAAUAGACGUAACAAGUCUUUGGUCUGUAUCCUCACAAUCCUUAAGUCUCAUUAAAACAAAGGAUAUACACUGUGUUGAAGAGCUCAAAAGAGUACACUGAAAGGGAUAUCAUUUUUAUAAUGGAGACUAAAGACAAUGAUUUGAGCAGUAAGGACAAAACAAAAACGAGUUUCUUUUGUAUCCUGAUUACAGUGUAGAGUUCAGUCAACCAGCAGGAGUCGACGUCACAAGCAGCUCGAGAAACCAAAGGGUCUACAUCUCAUUGUCCCUCACCCAACAUUACACUGAAUUUCAUUGUUAAAAUGCAACAGGCUUCUUGCAUAAUCUAUGUCGAACAUUCUUCUGCGUUUUGGCUUCCCAGUGAAAGAAUUAUGCUGCAGGCUAGCUGUUUGCAGCCAACUGGACAGCUAAAUUUGGAUUUACCCAACAAUGGAACCAGAAUCCACAGCUGUGUGACCAUAUUGCAUAGAAAACACUGCGAGACAUGGCUUAUUUCAUAUUCCCCCAACCAUCUGUGAUGUAUAAAUAAAGCUGUGGUUUUCUGACAGUCAAAUAACCAACGACUCCGUUUACAAAGACAGAGUGAUUAAACAUUUGGACCUUAAAACUCUAUUGGUCUGAUCAUAUGUAGGGUAUUAAAAUUGAUUAGAUGUUUUAUUCACUUUUUCCUUAAUCUUAGGGUUAAGUUGAUGUAUUGCGUCGCAAGAUAGGGUCUCAUUUGUGUCUGUGUAGGUGAUCAGUAUUGAACUGUCUACUGCAAACCAAAAUGUUGGUCCAUGAUGAUCAAAGUUUGGUACGAGCAACUUUCUAGUCUUUAUUCUUUUGGACUUGUUGUGCCCAAACUGCUUUCUUAGUGUAGUCAGCCAUGAGCUCCUUAAGCACCAACAACCUAAAAGAAAUAAAUGUUUAGCCCUGCUUUGUUAGAUUACACGCCGUAACUGAGCCGGUGACACUAAGGCAUCAUCCAUUUAGACCUGCCAGGGUAAGCCGUCACAAUGGAUCUCUGCUCUGUCAACCAAAAGCCCAAAAGCUCAAACCAGAUUAUGUCCCUCCAAUCAGCUCUCCUACCACCAGUGAGUCUUAGAAAUGCCUUGCAGUGUGGUCUCCUAGAUGUCUCUCAACCUGGUUAACAGUGGCUCAUCUUCGUCUGUCUGGAUUUUUAUGAGGGUCCUUUGCAAGGAUAUUAUUUCAUAUAUAUCCCUGUCAGUGACCUAUGAAGGACCAGCUUGACUUAACAAUGAUCUACGCAUGAUUUGCUUCACGUGCAGGUAGCAAAAGGCGUAGUUCUAGGGGUGCACGUGAAUCAAUAGCAUCACCAGGGAAAUCAAUCAUAAAUGGAGGCUGAACAGAGAAGGAUGUAUGGAUUUAUUGAUUGCUUUGGGACAGCACUGUUCUUUAAACGCGCUGUGAAAAAACCUGGUGGGAUGCCGUGUGUCAACACUGCAGCCCGAGUUAAAACAACAGGAAUAAAACAGGGAGUAAAUUCCGUAUUGGUGUAUAUUUAUCAGCUUUCCCAAAUGCAUUUUUUGGCUUUGCAUCCCCUCAACAAAAGAGUGAGAUCUGGCAACCUUCCAUCCUGCAAAUGGCCCUAUUAUUUUUGCUCUGCACCCCCCGGUUACUCUGAAUAAGCAGAAUUUAUCUAUGUCAAACAGCCUUGACUGUGUUGUUCUGCUUUUCUUUUUUUACCUCCUCACUUGUUGUGGCUUUACCACCACUGCCACCCACAUACACAGACCUCACCAGCCCCAGUUCUUUCAGACUUUCCUCCAGACAAAUGUCCUCCUUGACUCUGCAGUUUAGGGAAUUAUUUGUUGCAUUUAACCCCUGACCCACGUCUUAUCUUCAUAAAAAUCCUGUAAAAUGUUUUCCGUCCCAAAACAUCCUGAUCUCAGUCUGUAGGGCAGUACUUUUUUUUCCCCUGGGCAUGAAGUAACAUGAUAUUCUGCAGUAGAGAUACUUUUUAAAGCUGCUUUUGAUUGGGGCUAACUAGUUGAUAUAUAGCAUGGUUUCCCUGCAAAUGGAUAUACAGAAUCUAAAGGUAACUUUUUGCAUUACCCUUGAAUACUGUAUCUGAGUUUCCCUAUCAUGGUAGAAUGUUAUCAGUGAUGUAUAAUAUUCAAGCAGUCUUGAUAGCAUACACUUUGUGACAAUCCAACAGCACACUGUCAGUGUAAUAUUGAUGAUAGAGUUAUAGAAAUCUGAACCCACCUGAUUAGUUCAUAGAUAAAAUCUGCACACAGUGUUUGAGCGUGGUUGAGAGCCUGACUGCCUCUUGAUAUCAAAAUCUGUGAUUAGUCAAGAUUUUUCUGAUGAAUGCUAAUAGUCUCUCUGAUAGAUGGUUGUGAAUAUGCAGCAUGUUCACUCUUUUCCUGUUUAAAGAAAGCAGCGAGAGAACAUAGAAAUACUGUGUUUGAAGUUUAGCAUCUGUCUCUCUUAAAAGUGAGUCUGUGGUACCGUCAAUGAUGUAUGAAAAAGAGCUGAUAUAGGAAGUGUGUACAGGCUGUAUUUUUGAAUUAUUACGCCAUAAUAACAAUCUGUCUCAUCAAGAUGAAUGUGUUUAGCUGAGAGGCAAAGCUGUGCUUUUUUUUAUUUUGGCAGAAAUAGGUUCAUAUUCCCAUUGCUCAGAUUUCAGACAUCAACACACAAGCUCUACUUCCUAACUAAGGUGUUAGAGAGGUGCCUGGGGUUAAAUUUCAUUUCAAAACAAUCUGAAAGUGACCUGGUCUUAGGGUGGCCACUCUUGUAUUGUAAUGCCUCACCUUCCCUUCUUUGUGUGGCUUAACCGUGCUGACCACAGAGAGCUGGAUUGCGUGUGACUGCACAGCAACACUUUUUUCUAUUUAUGUGACCUGUUCAUGGGUUUGGUUGAGUUUCUUUAUUUCAGUUUUUUGACAACACAGCUCCUCUGACAGGGUAGGAGCACAGCUUAUGUCUUUUCCAUAAACACCAUGUGAGUGAUGUCAACAUGAAUCUUUCAUUCUUGAGACAGAAAAAAAAAAAAAGUGUUUUCUUAUGCUUUGUUCGGUUCAUGUUUAACCAUCACGAAUAACAGCAAAAAACCACCCAGUGAGGCCAACCACCAGUCAAAACUAUAACACAUGUAUGAGUCACUCAUUCUUCCUCCCACAGGGUUCAGGAGAGGUGAGGACAAGACGGGUCAGAUGUUGAGUCAGGUCAUGCACUCACCAAGAAAACCUAAAAUUACCUCGGAGAUCAUUGUCUGUCCUCGUCUGUAUAUGAAACUGUCAACCCUGUUUGGAUGUGUGCACAAACACAGUAGGAGCUUGACAGGAGUCAUGCUGUUGUUCUAACUUGGGCCGGGUAUUUCCCACAGCCUCACAAUACAAUAUGUAUCGCAUUAAACAUAGAAUUUGGAUGGUGACCAUGUUGUAUACAGACUUUACCGCAACAGCUGUUUUUUUAUUGUUGUGAUUUACAGCAGAGACAGUUUAAAGCAUCGUAGCAUUUCAAUAAACUUAAAAAAGGCCCUAAAAGAUUUAGGGUAUGCUGUAAUAUUGCUUAUAAACCCAUAGCUGUUAUUAAAAACAGAUGCAUUAUUCUUUUUUUUUUAAUGUAAGACAGUCUUUUCUAUUUCGCCUUUACCUUUUUGUGUUUUUCUUUCCUGGUGUAUCUGAAAGCAGAAAUUAGUUCCUCUCCCUUGCUUGUUUGUUUUGAUUUGAGAAGUGCGCUGCAUCCUGAUAUCUGGCUUUAUUUAGUGUCAAUUUUGUCAUGAAAUUUUGAUUCAGUUUGAGUCAUUUUCAGAAAACUGUAGCUGAUUUUAGUCAUAUUUUAGUCUCUCUGUCUUGUAUUGUGCUAGUCAAGCAAUAAUCAGAGAAACAUUCCAGCCUUUUUCUAAUCCGCCUCAAUUAUCAUUUUGUUUUCAUCAAUAUUUUUAGUCCAAACUUUCUCAGACAGUUUAAUGAUAGUUUUUAAUGAAGAUAUUUUUCCAAGUUGGAGUUUGAAGAAACGAAUUCCUCACUCUGUUUAGUCAUCUUGGCUGAAAAUGAGUUUCUAACUUAUACUUCCUCAUGUCAUAGUAAAAACGGAUUGCCUAAAACUUGAUUUGGAAAGUGCAAUAGGCCACAUUUCAAAAACACCAAUUCCCUCAUCAGUACAUGGAGCGCCAUUUAAAUGAAUUAUGGAAAUGUUUGCUGAUUCACUCGAGGUCUGUAUGAGCCUCAAAAACAUAAAUCCGAUUUUUAGAAGGAGGAGGUAGACAUGUACCGUAAUGAAGCUUGGCUCUGCCAGAGUAAAUGAUCGGUUUGCUAGCAUGGCAUGCCAAUCACCAACAGGUGUUAUAUUGAGUUUUGCUACCUUGUUAAAGAUUGCUACCAGAAAGCAAAUCAUUUGACAACAAACUUUUAGAUUUGUGAACAUUAACUAUGGAGAGUUCUUGUGUAUUUGUUUCAGAUGAUCAUCAUACAUCCUUGUUAUUCCUGAGCAGACAGUACAGUGUGUUUUGUUUGCUUGAAUUUGUUGAUUUUUUUUCCUUCCUUUUUUGGCACGCAGUUCUAAUUGGGUGAGUUCACUCAGUCUUGUCUUUGAAUCAUGAAAUUUUGUAUGGUGAACCUGUUGCUUUGCUUUCUGAUGGAUCACAUGUUUUAACCAGCAUAUACUUCACUUACAAGCUGAUUCCAUGAUUAAGACCAGGACUGCACAAUGACCCAUAUUGUUUGCAGAGACUGCCUCAAUCUUAUUAAAUUCGGAUAAAUCCCCUGUGAAAAUGCAGAAUUAGAUACCACUCAUCAUAUAUCAGAUAGAGCACUGGUUCAAUUGACCGUACUUUCACACCAAUUUGUCAAUCAGAUUAUACUGCACUUGACCAACAGCAGCCCACAAAGUCAAUUUGAUGGUGAAAGAGAUCAACCAUUAGGAUUUACAUUAGAUUCAUGAGGGAGGGACUGAUAUGCAUACUGCAAUAGCUAAUUGAUCACAUUAGAUAUCAUCCUUUAAACAUUCAAAAUUGCAACUGCUAAUGGCAGUUUAAUCUUGUUUAUUAGAGACUGAGUAAAAUUGAUUAGUUGACUGGUAGAUUGAUCUACAAGAAUAUAAAGGACAAUGAAUUUAAUCUGCAAUCGCUCAAACAUUAAUUAACACACAGGAAAAGAAGUAGGGUUGUUUUUCACUCAUAAAAUCAUUCCCAUUUACUCUCAUUAUUUAUUUUCAAUAUUUCCCUUGAUAAAACCCUGAGAUUGUCUUAAUUUGCUAAAUUUACUAAUGACAGCAUAAUUUUUUUCUUUUUCAAAUUUAGAUACUUUAGAUAUGCAGUAAUGUUCAAAUACAAUAUAAUAGAUCUGCUAAUUUACCCAUUUGCAGAUCUCUGUAUUUACACAUCCUGAUCCAAAUGAAUGCAAACCCUUGGUAUUUAUCAAAGUACUUCCUCCUUUUAACUUGUGAAAAUCAAUUUUUUAUACCUCUUCAAACUGGAUUAUAUCUCAGCUGUGGUUUAGCUCCAUAAUAAAACUGUUCUCCACAGUAAGGGUUCUCUCACCAGUCUUAAGAGUUGCAUUUUUCAUUCUACACAGGAAUAUAAUUUUACACCACAUAUUUAGUCAUUUACAAAACAUGCAGAUAGUCACAGAUACAGUUUAUAGAACUUGAAAUAGUCUUUUAAUUAGGACUGAAAACACCAUCUCUUUAUUGUGUGGAGACAUAUUUGAACAAAAGAGCUGUUUUCUUUUAGGUUCAGACUUUGUUCUUGGUCAACAGGGAGAUUGAGUUAAUGUGUUUGUUGAAUGAGUAUGUCCCUGAGGAUUUAGUGAGGAUAUGUUGAAUAUUGUAGCAGGAUACAUUCAAUCAUAUGUGUGAUUACACAACUCUGCUGUCAUUCAAAUCAACAGUUCAUUAACAAUGGCCUUUCUGUUUCAUCUGUCACCCAGAUAGUGGCUCUGAUUACAAACUGGAUGUCAAAUUUAAAAAAAAAAAAAAGAAGAAGAAAGAGGAGGAAAAAAACAGUUGCACACAUGAGAAUUCAUACAACACAACAUUCACUCAGUGUGACAGCCACUUGGCUACCAUGAUAUAUAUACUUAUAUUUUUCCUCCGAAGAACUUCCUCUCGGGAUGACUCCUCUUUCAGAAACUGUACAGUUCUUCUGGGGGGAUUGAUAGCCAAUACCUCACUCUCAGACUACUUUCCCAGGACUCCACUCUAAGUCGAGGUGGUUGCCUGGGUUUCAGUAUGAGAGCUGAGUGAGGUUUUGCAAUGACUUUCUCUGACAAACUGACAAUUUGUGACCUUUGGAGUAGACCAUAAAUAAUGUGAGCAUUCCUCACUUUCUCCUGUCUCUCCAAGUCUAGCCUCAAAUGGUGUUAUAUGAAGCGAGUGGCUACAGGACUGGGAGUUCCAUAGGGCUCUAGUUGCCAUAAUGAGUGGGUUUUGUUUGCAUUGGAUUUUUCUGAAAUUCUUAAAGCUGCUUUCAUUGGUUUCUUUCACCCUCGUUCAUUGCACCCUUUCAGCUGUGGGUUUAUUCUAAAUCUGCAAAUAAUUCCUAAGUAUAUUUGUAACUGGCUUCUGAGACGUAGAAGGGAUCGGGAUUCAAAUCAUUCAUCAAGGGAUAUUUACACAGGGUUAUAUAGAAAUACAUUAAAUGAAUGAUACAUUUCUGCUUUAAGUAUGGCUUAAAGAUGUGAUUCUGUAAGAUUUAAGCAGUCCCACAACCUCAACCUGAAACCUCUUCAUAAAACCUUUAAUUCAUCAAGAAAAAGAGAAUUUAGACGAUAGUAGAGUCAGAAGUUUUAUUUGCAUUCAUCCCUUGUAAGAAACUAAAUUCCUGACUAGGGUUGUGAUGAUGAUUGUUGCCCGAAAAGUAGUAACUUAUGAAUUUAAUCAUCAGUAGUUCAUCAUUUACAUCAUGCUGUGUUUUUUCAAUGCUAUUAGUGGACACAACACGUUUUUAGAGCUGGGUUUCUGAGUCGUAAGCCAUCUGGCACCCUUACUUUCUCAGCUUAGAGUUGUUUAUGUAAAACAGCAGCAGCCGAUGCAAUCAUCCUAAAACUUAGACAGUCUCGGAGCAUUUUACCCUCAAUUUGUCAAGUAGACCAGUCACACUCAUGAAAGUAUUUGAAGAGAAGACACAAUGGACACGUCUUUUUAUAAUAUCAGCAGUGACAUUUAGUUUAACCGUCCACAGUAGAAUGAGUGAUUUUUCUGUUAUUCACAUUUUCAGUCAAUUUCAACCCACCCUCCCAAACACUUCAACACUUCAUUCCUCUCUGUCCUUCAUGUCUUUUUCUUUAUCCUCCCUAACAACUAACCAGAAGAGCAAACUCUUGACACUGUACUCUGUGCAAACAAGGUGGAAUCAAAAUCAUCCAAUUCACCUCAAAACUAGUUCUGUUUAAAAAUAGGACUAAGUUUGGACUGAAUUAUGACAAUGAUAGAUUUUGAGUUUAAAAGAGCGAUGUUUAAUUUAAACCUGGAUAAAUGACUAAAUAAGAGCAAUCAUUAGGAUAAUUGAGCAACUAAUGUGAUGACCCAAUUAAUCCUUUCAGUAAUUAAUCGCUUGUCGAUAGCAGCCCUAUCUUUUAUGUUAGCAAGCUAGUUAUAACAGUUUAUGCUAACAGUCUACUUAACAGUUGAAAGACAAUCCUAACUGAAUUAAAGGGUAAAAAACCCCAAUAAAUCCCAGUUUUUAUCAUUAGAUUUUACUUUCAUUAUGUACAUACUUAAUUGCCCAUAGCCAUGACAAUAUUUUUUAAAAACUUAGAACAUAAUAACGUCCUAAGUUUGCUUCCAUUAGUUCUUCUCUAAUCUUUGUAUCUGUGUUUUCUAACCUCACACAUGUUUUUCAGCUCAUUCUUUUGUUUUUGAAGAGAUUCUAAUGGAAGUGCUGAUACUGUGGCACUGCCAAGCUAAAUUAAGAACCAGGUAAAUACCUUGUGGAUUAUUAUCUUGUGGAGCUUGCUGCGGUAACCACCUACAUAGGGUAAAUUUGAGGCCUAUCUUUGGACGUCGCCCUGGAGACUACAUUGUUUCUAUUUUCCUCUGAGUUAAUGAUAUGCUUAUGCCAUGCAAAUUUUCCUCUCUGUUUUUAAUUGUAGUCCUUGUGAGGGCCCACCUGAUGUUCCUCCUCCACUUCACUAUAAAAAGCUUUCAAAUUCAGAAAACAAAAAACAUGCCUACCUCCUGUUUUUGCUUCAGUAUUUGAGAGAACUUUUUAUUGUCGGGGUGCACUGAAUUUAUGUUUGUCCUUGCGUACGGUGUGAUACAAUAGGACAAAAUGUGAUGACAGAUAAGAUACAAUAUAACAUCAAAAGUACAUCAUGACAAAUUGCUCAAACCACACAGUUUCAGAACAAAAUUAACAACUGAGGUUAUGGUGUGGAUGUAGUUUACUUUUCUCCCCUUUUGACUUUUGUAUCUUUAUUUUUGUCUUUUACUAAGAGCGACAUUAACCUGUUAUCCUGCAACUAGAAACUCAAACACAUUUUCAAUGAAAAAAUAGUGUUUCUUAGAUUCAUGGUAGUAGGAUCUGUUUUAGUUUUUGUCAUAAUUGCUCAGUGAUCAGUUGAUUUAAGGAUUUAGCACUAAAAAGAGCUAAUAUUUCUUUUUUUUUUUAAAGGCCUUAGAAAUAUUGCAUAAAAUAAGUGAAAAAAAAAUCUUUUUGACAUCAACUGAGAAAUGUAGGGCUUAAAGUCUCAGUAUAUUGCUAUAUGAUUUUAAUCAGUAUGCUAUUAUGUUUAAUGCUGAGUCUGAGCUGGGAUCUUUCUCACCCCGGUGGACUUCUAGUUUGCAUAAUCACUUGCUCACUAAGCAACAUACUGCUCUUUAUUUUGCUUCCCAAUCACAAUAUAAACAUGCUAGCACAAAAUAUUGACCUCAAAAUGAUAUAUUAAUGAAUGAACAAGUCUUCCAGUUCUACAGUUGGUAACACUUCUGUCAUCAACCGUUUUUCAUUAUCGGUCAAGUGAAAACAUUAACUGGCUUUUAAACCAACUUCAAUGUGUAAUUUAUUGUUUCCAUGUAAGGUACACAUUUGACACGGUAAACAAAAAUUCUGCUGUUACAUUAGUUAACAUUUUUGUCCCUUCUCAAGACUUUGCAGCCAAUAAAUCUUCAAACAUGAGAAAGACAAAUGCCACGACUUUGAACGGUAUACUAACUAUAUCAAUACAGUUUCAGUCACUUUGUAGGGAUUGACAACUUAGAGAUAUGCAACUUUACAACUUAACUUGAUUAGAGAUGGUUUAAAAAACAGGCUGCUCUUACAUUUCUGCCUGUUAGCUGUCAUUAUUUAAAAAAUCUUCCAUUCAGGGACAAAAUCUAUUGUUGACGGUUUGCAGUGACAGUACCCCGCCGCAGUUUUAUUUCUAAGCUUUGUAAGACCUGAUGAGAUGUGACAGUUUACAAAUAGUUGACACGUCAACACAUUUUGCCUUUAAUGACGUUUUCUUGCAGGAAUGCAUCAUACAUGUUGCAUCCGUGUUACAGAAAGAUGACAAAUGACCUGUUUCUUGACCCUCAUUAUGUCGAUUCCCCAUGAUAAUCCUGCUUUCUUUCUACUGCUUGUCAUGAGUGUAAUAUGUGAUGUAGUGUUCCUUUGCUGAUCUUCUUGUUUCCUCCAUUCAGCCUCCUGACUCUCAUUAUCUGAAGCUCUUUAAUGAACAUCUACCCUCUAACCACCAGUGCACAGCCAGGAAAUAGAACACAAUGGCUAUUUGUGUCUGAACGUAUUGAGAUCAGACGUCAUUGUUAGAUCUGUAGAAUAAAUGAGUGGAUGACAAGAAAUGUAGCAGCCAAGACAUUCAUUCCAGCUGCAUUUUUGUAGGUCCACCAUGCCUCCGCUGCAAUAUUUAGCUUUUCCAGUUAAAACUGAAUUUGAAUUUCAAAAGGUGAGGUUGAAGAGAAGCUGUCAAAAAUCGUCCAAAUCCUCUUCCCACUCCCUGGGAAAAACACAGAAAUUCAACCGCAAUACAUUUUUUAAGAUAUUACUCAAAAUCCAGUCAUUAUCCAGUCAGUCUGCGAUAGAGAGAAUCUAUUUUGGUUUUGGCGACAAAUUUAAACAAAUAAUAAAAUGUACAUUCAGAUGCUUAAAAAUGUCUGAACUCUUAACCCACAUUUUGUUUAAAGUAUGCAUUUGUGCUCGGCAUGAUUCAGAUCCAGUGAUUUUCCAGCAUAUUUCAGGAAUCAGUUUUUCAACGUUUUGAAUGCGUUUCACAUGACGUUGUCACUCAUUCGUUGAAUGCGGAGUGCUCAAGCAGCCAGGAAACCAUUCCCGCCCUUUGACACAAACAGAGCGUUUUCAUUCAUCACCGUUACACAUGCCAGCGAUCUUUAUCUGUAUCCUAUAAUUUCUGUUUCUAUGGGGAAAAUGUUUGAACUCCAAUGUUUAUACAUGUAGUUUAAGUGGCUGUCACAGAUGGUUUGAAGCAUACUACUGUGGUGAAUCACUGCCACCACAAUAACCAUAACAGUCUAUAAGAGUUGAUUCAUGGUGGAUUUUAUAUGAAUCAUAACAAUUAUGUGAGUGAUGGUGAUAUUUUCAAAGUGAGUCACUGGUGGCCAGGCUGUGAGAUACACACAGAGUCCCUGCAUGUACAGUAACACACAAAUCAAACGAAUAUUCCUAAUUGAAAUCUUGAGCCUGUACAGUAAAGUGAUGUUGAAUUUUCUAGACUCCAAAUAGAUCAUUUAUUGGUUUAUUAAACACGAUUUGUAACAGCAUGCUACUUUGAAAUGACCUUCUCUCCAGUCCUCUGAACUGAUGUUUUAAUGAUGCAUGAAAUGUGCAGAUUAGCAGUGUUAGUUUUAUCUCAGUGCUCAGUGCCAGCCCCAAAAUUGGUCAUAGGUGCUUCUAUGUCAUAUUUAUGAGACUCCAGCUGUCUAUUCAAAGAGAGGGGACCUUUUAUACUCUUCACAUGGGAACAGGUCAGCAAAUGUCAAUUCCAGAGAUUCAUAUUUCAUGUCAGAAUUGAAAUGUCUCACCCAUCCAUCAUAGCAGCUUGAACAGAAGUGUCAUAAAAGGAAGUUUACUUUGGAUAUUCCUCCAGCAAGGGAAAUUAUAUUCUCAUCGCAGAUGUUCCUCAACACAAAAUGGUGGAUAAUUACUGGCUUUCCGUGUACAGUUCAUAACUUUAUCGAGAAAUUACAAUAUCUGGCAGUGAUCAGGGUGCACUGUAGUGGUAAUCACUGCACCGGCUCAAUAACACUCUUAGAAGCCACAGUUUGUUGUUGCUUCACAGAUGUGGGUUAAAAUUGUACCAUACAAAGAGUAUACUAUAAAUAAACAUGAUCUAGAAAUGCUGUCUCUGGGCUCAAGCUCUUUUUAAAACAUGGACGCUGUGUAAAUCACUUAAAAAGAGGAGAGGGACUACCAGACUCAUUAUUGGCACAUAUUUGAAAAGCCAGCAGCAGUAAUGUUACUUUAAUGAAUAAGUACCCUGAUGAGGGAUUGGCGUAUACUUUUGGGAAGGCACCGUUAACGCUGAACACUAUUUACAGGGCUUUGAGCAACAUUCUGCCAACUUGCCUCCCUUUAGAAACAUUUUGCGCUUCAUAAAAAAAAAAAAAAAAAAAAAAAGACUAUAGAGACCCCAACUGUUGAACCGCUGAAAUCCUGCUUUAGGCAAGAACGGCCUCUCACCUUCAGAACACCUGUGGCUGGUGUCCUUGGUUCCCAAACACUGACUCAGUGCUGCUACAAAAGGAGAUCUUGCAACACAAUGAUACACAUCCUCUGGUCUAGCCUUUUUGAAACAUUAUUACUUGCACAUUGUUCGGGGUAACUUUUUUUUUUUUUUUUACAAAAUAUGUUACUAUGGUUGAAAUAGUGCAUCUCAGGCAAUAAAACAAAACUUAACUAGUAGUGUAACUUAUUGGUUUCAUUUAGAUAUGAUGUUAACAGGAUUUGCAAACCAUCCAAUUCUGUUUUUAUUGAUUAAGACAGCAUCAUACCGUUUCCAGAAUUGGGGUUGAAUAAGGUAAAUCAUGCAUAACACACUGUGUGGCACCAAAUGUUGAAGAAAAUAAGAAUCUUCACACCUGACCUCCCAGGGGUGGGGUUUAAAGUGAAAAAUAAAUUUCCAUCAUUUAGUUAAAUUACAAAUCCAACAAAGACAAGCGCCUGAAGGCAACAUGAACAAUUAAAAAGAAAAAAUGAGUUCUGAGUUUAGUCAUAAAUUACAUUUUCCUGAGAAUUCAGAAAGAGGUGAGCUGUAACUUGGAUGUCGUUGCUGAUCUUAUCUUGAAUAUUUCAUUGGGGCCAAGAGGGUUCAUAUUGUUACGGUCUCUUGCUCAUCAAGGAAAAAAAAAGAAACUUGGAAAUUAACUUAACAUGUAAUGCUUUCGCCGUGUUUUGAUUAGACUUUUAAUGAGCUUUAACUGGAGCCUUGAGCAAGAGCUUUGAAAAGGAUUUGAAGUCUGUGAUCUCACACAUCCUCUGUAGAAAACACGGCAUCAGGCAACCCUGAGAGGCUUCUUUGGGCGUUUUGACAAAAACCAAACAACGCAUGUCCCUCUUUUUGGUUUGAUCAGUGUCAAAGAGAAAUCACGUUUGCAGAAGUGAAAGAAAAGAAGAUUAAAAUGAUGUUCAGUGUUAUUACUUUGAAUGUGUGACUGUGUAUUUGACAAAAUCUAAGUGUAAGAUUUGAUGUUGGGCAGCUGAGUGCAAACCUGACCCUGUGAGAGUGAGAGAUGUCUCAUCCGCUGCUGGAGUAUUGGCACCUGCUUAAUAGAUGUUUUGUAAAUGACUGCCGUUCCCCAGUGUUUGUCAGCAUUAACGGCGUUCCCCUCUGCUGAGAGUAAUGCCACGAAACUGCCGGGUUGACAGGCUGCAGUGAUUUGUCGCCUUCCAAACACACAGCGUCAUGACACUCCAAUAAUGGACCCGCGUGUUUUACUCAACAAAUGGCACAAUGACUGCCACGAUGGAAGAAAUUGGCUUCAUUUUUAUUCAAGCAGGGCUGUCCUGGCCGCAGCAACAGGGCAAGCAAGGUGCAAGUGUGCCACCAACAACAAAACAUGGAUCUAUAUUGAUGACGAAUUAAUGGAGAGGAAUGGAGCACUAUUGGAGUGUAUGCACCUAAAGGGCCUAACUCCUGUGAACAGCUGCCAAUAGCUGCUCAAUAAGACGCAGGGAGGACACGGGUCUGAAGUUAUUGCUCCUAGUUUUAGAAGUUGUGUUUUGGCUUCAGGGUCACAGACAUUUAAGGCUGCUUAAAAAAAGGACAGCAGUCAUGGCAGAGCAUUUAAUUUGUGCUGUGAGUAGCACAACCCUAACCCUUGAACACCAAAUGCCUCUGAUUCUGCAUCAAGUACAAGAUCAGGUACUUGAGUGUAACCCUUGAACUACAUCAGGUUUUACCUGUAGUAUCCAACUACUCUUAUAAGACUGUUCAUGAGAACACAUAUCUUUGUAUAUUUAGUGCAUUCCCAUAUCAUAGUACAGUAUUUUUAUACAGCUACACUCAAUCAGGUAGCAUCAAGUAGGGAUGUCAUAAAUCAACACAGCUAACGCCACCAGCCUUUGGUCAAUGUCCUGGUCCACAUGCCUGUACUGGCUACACAUUGGCUGAGUUGUUAUAUGCCAGGUUAACCAAACACAACCUACAUAUAUACAACUUAAUCUCCAAAAUACAGAGAUGCUGUUAUCUGUGCUUGUUUACAUCUGGAUAGUAGAGGUUUACAGCAUUGGGGUAGUUGCCAAGAGGCAGUGCUUCAGUCCCAGAAAGUGGAUAGUUACUGAACUACAGCUAAGACACAACAUUUGACUGUCAUUUCAGGCCAUGAUAAUAAAAAACAGAGAUAAAUUGUCUAAGCAGUUAGUAAUUAUGUUUCCAACUAGUGAAGGUGAUGGCGUCAAGUCAAAAUACAGAGUUUUCCAAUACUUUUUUAUUUCUUUGGGGUUUCUUGCCUUUUUUUGAUGAACCAUGAAUGAAGGUGGGAGGGUACUUUCAUUAAAUGCUGUUGGGACUGGGAAUCCUGGGGUACUGUGACCAAUGCAACAGGGUCCUUUGUACCUGGGGCGCCUGUUCUUCCAGCUGAAUGAUGCUUGUAGUAGAUAUAAAGAGGUGGCAAGCGGAGUAUCUGCCUCCAUUCGUGUACUGGACUUUUACUGAACUUGAAGUUUGACCCAGAGCCAAGUUAUCCAAACACCAACCCAAACUUCAGGGGCGACAGCAUCUUUACUAUAUCCCUUAACUCCCGUUAAACACAAAGACCUUCCAGUUAGCCUAAUAGCACUAGUAAAAUUAAUUAUUGCCAAGCUAAUCACAUGUUUAUUUAUUUAUUAAGAUGGUUACCACGACACCAACCAAAAGGGAGCUGUAAAAACGAUGUCCCUGCAUCUAUAAACCUCCUAAUCAUCUUGCAGAUGGACUCAUGAUAUACAGCGGGGUGCUGUGUCGUCCUCAUGGUGAGCUUAAUCGUUGAAAUGGAGUGGAAACUCUGUUGACAUCAGCACAUCUCUGUUGUGUGGCUCAUCAGAAGGACACUCCAACUACGGCUGCUGCCACUCCUUUAGACCCCUCUCCUGUCAGUUUGUCACACCUCUUUCUUUAUACAUACAUGAUUGCUCCAUUGUCUACAUGUACCUGCUGCCAGAGGAAAAGCAACAUCAUUUGAUUAUAGUCACAGUUAUGAUUGGCAGACUAUAAACUGAACAAGUAAGGGGGUGGAGAGUAGGAAGCAGUUGUGUCUUUUACAUCUCUAUCUGUAAGUCUGUUUUGCGUGUUUUGGACAAUAUGGGAAAUUGCGAGUGUGCGUCAUUGUAUGUUUAGUUUAAACAUAUUUUUCACUGUUGACAUUUUAGCUGUAGGGUUGCUAAUGCUGAUGCUGUAACAGACUGUCAUGUGUUUGUCUUUUUGCUAUUUUGUGUCCUUGUAGAGUUACUAUGGGCCGCCAUAAAGUGGUUGCUGUUGCUGUUAUCUAACACCUGUUGUAUUAGGCAAAACCCUUCAUCAGGAACUGCUUUAUUGGAUGGUAGCACAUAAACAUUAUGUGAUAUUAAUCUAUAAAUAGUUAGUUCCUUUUGUAAACUUGCUCUAUGAAGAUGGAUGUCCUGCAGCGUUUUGGAUGUAAAAAUUGGGAAUAAGAUGAAUAAGAUGAACUUUAUUUAUCUCCAAAGGGAAACUCAAUAGUUUAAUAAUAUAAAUAAUAUAUAAUAUAUUUUUUAAAUAUUUAUUUAUUAUAUUUAUUUAAUAACAACAAAUCAAUUAUUUGAAAAUUAUUUAUAAUAGAUUUAAUAUUAAAGAAUAAAUUCAAAAAUUCAAUUCAAAUUCAAUUCACAAAUUAGCAGACUCCCCUUUUUUGUCUAAAAUGUAUUUUAAAUGUUUUUAAAUGUAUUAUUUUAUAUUUUUUAUUUAUUUAAUUUAAUGUAUUUAUUUUUCACAGGAGCCAGUGGUACACUUUGGCUCUUAAAAAUAUGAUGCUUUUUCUCUGUUUUGUGGCAAAAUUUCACAUGUAAGCUAUACAUCUUUAAAUAACCUUUACUUUCAAGCUGAAAACAAAACCGUAAACUGUAUGACACUUUCUUACCUCUGAUACCAAUGAUAAGCUAAUACAAAGGGCAUACCUCUAAACAUCCAAAUAAAAACACUCAAAAAUUCAGAUUUGUUAAACAAGAGGUCCAACUCCUCUGUAAUUUAUUGAUGCUCUUGUUGUCUUCAGCAGGUCUUUCAAGCCUAAUCACUGCCGCUGUUGAUGUUUGCUCGACUAAGUCGCUUGUAAUACUUUGUUUACUUAUUCAGACGUUUCCAAAGACACUGGCAAUGUUGACUUCCUAUGCUUGUGACAUAAUUUACUCUUGUCUGUUUUGCUUGAAGGCCUGCAGCAGCUUUUGGUAACUGGCUGUUGUUGGACAACACUCAUACUCAAUGUUUAUUUCUCCAAAACUUUGAAAUAAAGGGCAAAUAGCAAACUGGAGGGUAAAAGUUUAUAUGUAGGGCACAUGUUGCCUAUCAUAAAAAGUUUGACUCAAAAUUGCGUUAUCCUUCAAUUUCUUUGAUGCAUAUUUUGUGUUUUCAGCUCCAGUUAUUGAACAGGUCAUAUUCUUUUUUACAAACAAAAUAAAGCCAGAGAACGAGGUCUUUAGAGCCACAGCGAGGCUCAGACGCCCGCUGGCCAGUAAUUUGUGUUUGACAAGUCAAGCAAGCAGUCACAAGUGUACUUUGUGUACAGACAUUGUGGGAGCAAAUAUAUUGGCCGGCUGGGUGAAUGCGCUUGGGAGCCAGAUGCUUUGCAAGCACCCAGAACAUUGUGCUUAUGUGCCCUCUGUGGAAGCAAGAUAGUGAAAGUGCGUAGUAAAAAGGGACAGGAGAAAAGGGUGAGGCAGAGGAAAAAGAGUGAAUUUAAUGAGGUUGAGGAGCAACAUAUGAACUGUAGCUGAGGAAUAAAAGAGGGAUCAGUCAGGAGAACAAAGUGAAGUUAACAAGGUAGGAGUAGAGAAAUGAUGAAAAACCAAAGACCAAUAGCACACAUUAUCAGCCGCUUAAAAAUCUAUAGUCCUCAUUUGUCCUAAAAUUAAAAGUCUACUCAUUUGGCUCGACGGUAAGCUUCUCUAUAAAAAUGCAGUAUGCAUGCAUGUGAUAGAUUAAAUUAUGUAAAAUUCUACAAUAAAAAUAAAAUUACAUCCUUUUCAACUAGAUACUGUAAUUAUAAUAUUCAAAAACUCUGGGAGGCCUGAAUGCCAUUAUUGAGACAAAUAUGCAGCACAAAUAACUGAGUGUGUUCGAGCUUUGUCCUGUAAUGACAUUACAGUAAAAUAGUCAUGAGUGGGGAAAAGAGAGGCUCCCUUUCUUUUAAGUAAGGUUUUCAGACUCAUCUGAACCACGUCAUCAGUCAUUAUUGGAAGCUUUUACAUUUAUAAUGCAGAAGUCUGCUUUUGGACUCUCUUUCUCUUGCCUGAAGAAAUCGCCUCUGUCAUGAGACCCACAGACUAAUGAAACUUGAAAGAUGUACAGAAGUAUGGUGUCUUACCUGGAAUUGAAUGUUUCAACAAACGCAAUUAAUAUUGAACUUUUUUUUUUUUUUAAUUUUUAGAUGAAGCAUCUCUCCAAGCAUUGCCCACUUGUCUUGACUUUUAGUAAGAGGAAAGUACUGUAGGUUAUUUAGGAAGAUUUAAAAUCACCUUGCGAGAUAGCUCUAAAUUAGUUCAGGUGAGAAAUAAUUCAUUGAGAUGAAACAGACUCAUGAUACCCUUUUGUUAAACAGCAGAGGUUGCUAAUGUCUUCAGAGAGAGCAAUACAGUAAUUAAAUCAGUAUAGAAAUGGCACUAGCAGGUGACAGUUUUGCUGUUGAAGAUGCACCACCAGUGAUUCCCACAAAUAGACGGUGCAAUAUUUCAGCAUUUCCCUGUUUGUCCAUCGAGACAGACUAGUCAGCUGUCUCUCUCUCUUUCUUCAGUCCUUGUGUUCAUUGUGAGUUGUGUCUCCACACCUUCUCUGCUUGUAAAAAAGAGAGACAGACAACACAAAACAAUACAACAAUGUACAAGCUUAGGAGGGCAAAUACAUUUGUCAUGUUGAUUUUUUAGGAAUUGAUUUUUAGCUGUUUAUUUGCUAUUGCAACUUUACGAUCGAAGUACAAAUUGUGUCCUUCAAAAUAAAAGCAUGUUUCAAACAUGUCAGUAAAGAGUUAAUACUUGUUAGGUGGUAAAUGAAAAAAAAAAAAAUAAAUAAACUUCUUAACUAAAAUAAAUAGAUUUUUUAUUUAUUUACUUUCAAAAACAUAUCUUAUGGUAACAUAUUUUCUUGAAGUUUCUUAUUGAAUUAUUCUUUAUUGCAUGAUAUGUUGUUGCUUCCUUCUCUGUGGCUCUUGUCCAGUGGUUCCUCAUGUAUAUUUGUUAGUAAAGUACUGCUGCUGCAGAGGGUUUGAUGUGUAACUCUUUCUGACGGUAAACGCAGUAUCAUGCAAAGCCUGUGCAGGGUAGUUGUACAUGCACUUAAAGAAAAGCUUUUAUUCUGAACGUUAAGUUACAGGACUCUUCCAGAAGCUUUUAUCAGCCACUUUAAAAAAGACUAUUAUAUAACCCUCAUACUAUUAUAAGUUUAUCAGCAUACAAGUGAAGUGAAAGGAAAAAAAAGGUCUGUUGGACAUAAAUGUGAUCUAUAAAUAAAUGACUUAGUGUGCAGGCUAUUAGACUUGUCUCUCCUUACUUGCCCAAAGAUACAGAUAUUAAUUUCACAUUUCACAGGGCAUCGACAAUGUCUCCAAGCAAAGCAGUACACUUUAACAAGCUGUGAGAUAGCGAGACAGUGCAGCAGCUGAUGUUCUUUAGUGCUUUAAAUUAGAUUUUUUUUUUGUAUUAAAGCUAUAUUGAUAAAGUUUCCUCCGUAUGCAUUCUGACUCUUGUAUCACUUGACAAACAUUUUAAAGGCUUGUCCUCUUCAAAAAUGACAUUACUUGCCUUUAAAAAAAAGCGGUAUUACAGAUUAUUCAUGAAUCCUCAUACUUUUGGGUCCCAUUCUCAAUGGAAGUCUGACAUUAUCCAUUUUUUAUCCAGGCAGUCAAAUCUCAUGUUCUUCCACUCAAAUCCCACUGAUCCACUGACGGAUUAUUCUUCAUUAGACUCUCAUACCUGGCUGAAGCCGACCCUAUCAUCUUCUUUUUUCUUUCCUUUAAUGGCAAUUCAUAUGAUUAAUUGAAUCUAUUUUUGUUUUACAUCGCCGGUGACAUGGUAUGGCCGCUUAUCAGUUUCCCGUCAUUAGGUGGCGGGGCCUACAAUGGGUCUGCUGGCAUGGGUCGACAUGACUUAUCAGGAUAAUAUAUGGCCUCCUGGUUUUAGGUUCACAAUCCUCCCUCAAAGGUAAUCUUUCUUCAUUUCUGGAGCCGUGGUCGGUCCGUCAGUCUGGCAGGUCUUCACUUUUAACGGUGGCACUAUCCCGCUGGGCCACAUCGCUUCUGAAGACCUAAUCAGUAUAUUUUUGACGGCAGGAAUUAGAGUUUUAUUCAAAGAUGGUGAAAAGUUUGACUUUGAUCGUAUACAUUUUUUAUGUGUAAAGGAACCUGCUGGUGAAUUUAAAGGUUAGGUUUUAAUAAAUGGAAAGACUUAAAGGGAUAUUCCGGCAUAAAAUUAAUUUAGGGUCAAACACACAUGACACCAAGUUAAACAUCCUCUCGAGAGAUAAAUGUUGCCGACCGCUUGCUUCUCUAGCUAUACCAACUUUAGUAACGACCGCACGAUAGCAAUAUAGCCACUCUAUAGCCACAAAUAAUGCUCAGAACAGCACCUAACUUCAUCAACAGUCGAUACAGGGUCCGAGCCAUAGUACUAGCCACCAAACAUCUUUUUAGCCUAAUUUCUUUAGCAAAGAGAUGAAACACAACUCACCUACUCUCUUCCAGCAGCCAUUUGUUUGUAGCGACACCUCAGACAGCUCAAGGAAGAACAUUUAUGAUCAUUACUUUAUCAUUUCCUUGAAGUAAUAAUCAUCAUAUUAAUCAUUUUGCACUGCAGAUGUAGUAGUUCUUCUGCCUUAGCGUCUCAGUCUGAUUGCAUUUCUAUGAAGAGAUGAUCAUAAAUGUUCUUUCUUGAGCUUAAAAAGAUGUUUGGUGGCUAGUGCUAUGGCUGGGACCCUAUAUGUACUGUUGAUGAAGUUAGGUGCUGUUCUGAGCAUUAUUUGUGGCUAUAGAGUGGCUUUUUGGUUGAGGUUUGUUUAUGGCUCCUCAGACCGCUGUGUGUUGCUAUCUUGCGGUCGUUAUUAAAGUUGGUAUAACUAGAGAAGCAAGCGGUUGGCAACAUUUAUCUCUCGAGGGGGUGUCUAACUUGGUGUUGCGGUGUGUUUGACCCUGAAUAAAUUUUACGCUGGAAUAUCCCUUUAAUAGUGCAAACAAUCAAUAUUUCAAUAAUGUUUCUGUGUGAGAUGCUCGUUCCUUCUGUGGAUGUGACAUUUUAUUGUUCAUUUUAUGGAUUCUUGUUGUUGAAUGACAACUCUGUUACUUUUCAAUAGUUUGGGUGCAGUAGCUGUAACUUUUUCUUUUAGUUUUGACAAGUCCUGUACUUUCCAUUGGCAAGCGCUGUGAAAAGGACUUGCGCUGCCUGUCUUGGGUGCUGAUAUGUUGGCUGUUUGAUUUCUGUUGUAAUGAAUGAACCCGACAGCAGGAUCAGACUUAACACUCCCCUUGCACUUCCUCUGAUGGCAUAAAAAGUUGUCCCUGCACUGGCUAAAAGACCUCAUGACGGGCCUCGUCCGAGCCAAGAUACAAAGUGACUGUGAGAUUAGCCAGACAUGACAUGCCAGGGAGGGCGGGGAAGCUGGUGAUAAUGCCUUCAGCAGCAGUCGGGUCAGCUCCCUGCCAGGAUGGAGGCUGGCAGGAUUGGCAUUCUGCACAGAGAUGCCAGGUACCCGUGGAACAAGUGAUGUGUGACUAAUGCCACUUCCUCAGUGCUAAAAUUUGCAUUUAGCAAAGGCUGUCUAAUGUAAUGCAACACAACAAAGUAAUGCAUAGCACAAAGCAGCUUCACGGCGGCAUUGUUCAUCACUUGGCAUCAUAAGUAUGAGGCAGUAAUGAAAAUAAAAGCAAGAGAUCAUUUUUGACCAUACCACCUGCUUGUGUAUGUUUCUGCAAGCAAAAAAAGUAUGCAUCGUGAGCCACAGCAUGUCCUCUUACAAUCGCUUGUAAACACAGGUUGAAAAAUCCUGCUCACUCUCCGAGCUUCACAUGCCUUUACAAACAAAAUCUGCAGGAUCCAUCAAGUGCAAACAACGCCAGCCAUUUAUUUUUCAUGGCAUCUCCCAAAACGAAAGCCGCGCAUGUGACACUCUAACCCCCCUUGUCAUGUAACAGGUGAAAAAUGACACCGUGGGUGCAUCUCACACUUGCCGGCUCACAUAAUGCGCUGAGGUUUUUGAGAGCUUUCACAUGAACACUGUAUGCCACACAAGGUGUGUUUACCAGACCGCAGAUAAUUCAAAUGGAUGGUGCGCUACAUGGCAAAGCUCAAGUGAGCAGGACUUCAUUUUGUGAGCCAUUUCACCACAUCACUCACCAUUAUUCUCUACAUCGCCUGCAUGUGUAGUCAUGUGACAAGUACCUUUCAGAUGUCUCGCUGUGACAUAAAUACAGGUAUUAGUGGUGAGAUGUUCAUGAUGACGAUACACAGAACAUUUUCUUUUCAAUUUAGUGACAGGCUGUAUUUUCUGCUCUCCUCCUCCCCACAAAUACAAUUACAUUUUUCACCAGAUAGAAGCCUUGUUACUGUAAUAGUAAACAGACCAUGUCAGGCUUUUGGAGACAUCUUUAAUUAUGUGUGUGUUUUUGAAGACAUACCACUUUUAAAUUCCUAUCCAUUAGUCAAUAACUGUAGAUAUAUGUUCAGAAUUAGACCUGAUUGUAAUAAAGAGAAUCAAGUUGAACAAUUAACUUUAGUAUAUAUAUAAAUUUUGGUUGUUAAAUGUUAUUCAAAUCAAGAUUACUCUAAGAAUUAAAUGUGUGAUUGCGAUUAAUUACAAUAACUCCGCUGAUGAGUACUCUCUGAAGAUGUAUGUGUAGAUAUAAAAAUCCAGUGGUUGAUAAUUGGAGCAUUUUAAGGUGAAAUGAAAUCGUUCUUUGUUUUCUGAGUUUUCCUCUCUCAUCGUCUCAAAAUGUUCAAAACUCUUUCAAGGUCAGUAUCUCAGGAGAGAAGAGCACAAACCACACAUACUAGACAAUUCACCAAAGUAUCUCUCUAACGUCUUGUAGUAAGACGGAGAAGUCCACCCACUGCUUUUCUCUGGACACCAGAUCCGACUUUCAGUAGGUGCGGAGUGAGUUAGGUGGUCGGUUGGUUAAUGAGACAGAUGGACAACACAGAUUGGUGACAUUAGCCUGCACUUGAUCUAGAUCAUGAUUCCUCAUCAUGCUAAUCAUUUAUCAGUCGAGUCCAUCUUGUUUUUUGGAGGGGGGGAAAGGACAAGCUGUGCGGCACUGGCUGCCGCAGCACCAGAACGCAUUUAAAAAGGGGCUUCAUGGAGUGUGUUGAAAUGACAAAACAUUAGGGGUCUGUUGCAAAUGCUGCAUUGGCUGAACACAUCCCAUCACUCUUAGGACUCGGAAAAGAAGCUGUCUUUUGCAAAUUUCUGAACCAUUUUUCUUUGAUUGUACCACUGAGCAGAGUUUAGGUGUGAAAUAAGUAAAACUGGGAAAGCCACAGUUUAGAGGGGAAAGGAACAACUUUGCUUCAAGUGAUUCACAAAAUGCAUCAACACAGCUUUCCUUUUGAGGGGUCAAUCAUCCCCUCACUCCUCUUGUUGGCUUUUUCCAUUUCAGUGUCGUUUUGAUUGGAAUGAUUUACAACUGUAGCUUCUCUGUUUUUGCUGCUUCUUUAUAGAGAGCAGUGGUUUCAUGAGUGGAUUAAGUCCUACCCUGAUCAUAUUUUUUUUUAAUUAUUUGAAGUGUUACCCGUGGUCUUUAAAUUGUGAUUAUGAAGUUUUUAGCCCAAAUCAUGUUACCUGUGUCAUUUUCAAGGGCUUUUCUUCUGCAGAGCUCCAGUAGCUCAUUACUCUGAAUCGUGGAUGGAGACAGCGCUGCUCUGCACACUCCUCUUCAUGCUAGCUUGCAGCCUAACAUUGCCGGUGUCGUAGAAGUGGCAGGUAACAUAGGAGCUAUUCAACUCUCAGAUGCUAAUGUCUUUGGGGGCAUGAUGAAAGUUAAUAUCAUAAUUAUCUUUCUUACGAUCAUUGCAGUCCGCUAACGCACAUGCUUGUUCUGCGAUCGUCCUCUGUAUUUCUCAGAGUCUGGCCUGCAUAGUGAGGGGUUGAUUCCAGGGGUGGAGCUUGAAAUUGUGACGUAGGAAAUCUCGCUGUAUCUGAACCUGCUGUUUGGAUCUGUGAGAGGUUCACAGUGAUUUGAAUGAAGUGCAAUUUUGCUCUUAGUUUUCUCUUGAUAUGUUCAUGUAGACAACAAGAAAAACAUGAUUUUCAUCGGAGUGGGUCUUUAAGAGCCAAGAGUUAAGGUCUUUGUCAAAGGCUUUUGCAAAAAGUUAUAUGGUAAUAACUGAAUAUGUCCAUGUAGAUUCUCAUUCAUCCAGGUCAUGGUUUUGUUAAAGACUCCAAAAACAGGGAACUGGACUGCAUAGAGUUGAGAAGACGUUUCACCUCUUAUCCAAGAAGCUUCUUCAGUUCUAACUAUUGCUAGUGUGAGGAGCAGAUAUUUAUCUUACUGGAGAAGGGGGACAGAUAACGACUGGGAGGAGUUUGGAAAGAAUUGGUCGUAGACCCUUUUAGGUUAAUGACCCUCGGGGGGAACACUUGGAGUUGGGUUUCUACGACCCAUUCUUUCCAAACUCCUCCCAGUCGUUGUUUGUCCCCUUCUCCAGUAAGAUAAAUAUCUGCUCCGCACACUAGCAAUAUUUAGAACUGAAGAAGCUUCCUGCAUAAGAGGCGAAACGUCUUCUUAACUCUACACAGUCCAGUUGCCUGUUUUUGGAGUCUUUAAGUAAUAACUGGAUCAUGUAAAUUGUAAUAAUUUUUAAUUGACUAAACAGCCCAUCAAGAUUUUUACAAAUAUUUAUUUAUUCAUUUUUUAAGCUGAGUCAGAUACUAGUUGACUUGAGUGUCAAUUGGUAUGGAGUACCCCUUUCAUGCACUGUGUUUUAGAGGGACAAAUUUCAAAAGGAAAUUUAAAUUCUUAUCAACCAUCUAGUCUGAAUGUGUAAAUAAAUGAAUAAAUAAAUAAAUAAAUAAUUCGCAGCCAGUCUUCAACAGCCAUGUUCGAGAAUAGUCUGGCGUUGAAACAAUCAAGUCUGAUUGUUUUUGUACACUAUCAUCACAUGAGCGUCUACUCCGACUGCUUAUGUUAAUCCUGUGACUUCCUGGAGCAGAAUUUCCGAGAACAACUUUUAGUCUUAAUUAUUUAUCAGCCUCCCUGGACUCAAAACGGGUUCUGCAUAACCCACAGGAGCUGUUUCUACUUUUGGAAAAAAGCCACAUAGCCCAGUCAGUCAAAGCAUAUUUAUCACACAUGAGGAGAGUUUUAGCUAAGUCCUUUUAUGCUAAAAAUAACGAUUGCACACAGCACGAGCUGUGUGUGUUUCAUAAGUAGUGAGUAAAAUGCUUAAAAUCCACUCUUACCAAAAAUAGUUGGAGGGUUUUUAUGCCUGACAAGAUUGUGCUGAGCGUUAUUGAAGUGUCUUUAAGGUGCGACUGUGUCCUUACACUUGAUUCCCUUCUUGCAGGCCCAAAUCAGAUCUCUUUACUGCGUUCACUACAUCUGAACAGAGAGCCACAUAGAAAUCCUUCAUAUUUCCUCAAUCCACCAUCAGGCAUGACAUAUUGGCCUGCUCUGUGCCACCCAUCUGUUCACAGCUGGGCACAGAGGCAGCAGCCAGCGUCGACCAUAGUCAGUGCCACAGGGGUGGGGGGCUUGAAAAGAGGCAGACUGCUCUAAUGGGAAACAUCCACUCAGCCUCGCCAUCUACAGAAACAUAACAGAAAGCAGACCAGUGUUUCCCCUCUGAGUUUCCCAUCUCUUUUCAUGACCCAGUGAGAGAUGAAUGGCUUCAUUUUCUUUUGCCCUCGGUUAAAGUGGCAUCUCGUCCACUCAUUGCUCCUCUCACCAACUGAUGUUGGGGAAAUAAGGAGAAACAUGCUGGUCACAUGCCAGGGAUAGAAAGAGAUAGCUUUUUUUUAUAUGUCAACAGAGAGACACACGAGCAAAGCAUCCAACAUAAAGGCUUGCAGGCAAAUUGGAUUUGAGUAAUGACUCACCCUGUCAGAGCAGACAGGGACGUGAAAUGAGCACUCGGGACUUUACCAGACUGUGGCGAACUAAAGAAGAACGGAGUAGUCAAAACAAGGCUGGGUUAUUUCGUUUGAUAUUUUUCUGAGUAUCCGCAGCCUCAUGCUUGCGGCAAAAUGUCUGUUUGGUGCAGUGUUUGACACAUCGCAUGAUUAAUUAGCUGCUGGAAUAAUGCAAAAGCUCGCUGAGUACAUGAACGUCAACAGCGAAUACACUGUGAGGUAAUGCAGGCAAAUUGUACGUCAAGUAAAUCUCAGUGAUUUAAGAAAUGUACAACUUCAUGUUGACUGAAAAUAAACAGUUUCCUUCUCGUUCAUAUGUAUACCAAAUAUCUUGGUGUUAGGAAUCUGCUGUGUGUCAUAGAGGACAGAUACAAAACAAAUUGUUGAUCUGAGGCUGGUGUUGAAUUAAUAGGUGUAUUUCCCCACUGUUAAAAAGAGAGACAAUCAGUUAUGCAAAAGACAACAUCAGGAUUUUUUUUACUAUGUCUGCCAAAAUAGAUAAAUACAGAAUAGAGUCCCCAACUUGCUGAGGCAUCGCUCACUCUCUGCCGUGACAUGAUAGCUCCCUUAAAUACAAGCUGAUUCACACUCUCUUUAAGUCUGUAGAGCAUAUUUUCCCUAUUUGCAUUGUGCAGCUUGUGUCCAGAUGUGUAUUGUUGAAUGGACAACAGACAACUGCAGGAGCUCCAGACAGGACUGAGUGGAUUGAUCAAAUCUUAUGGCUGUUAUGUCUUUAAACUUUGCUAAUGAGCGUCCACAAAAGCCCUUGCAGAGUUCAGACAUAGCGGUCUUAGGAAAUAUUUAGAGAAUAGAAAACUUCGCCAUGGUUCAAAGUGUUCAACAUGUUUGUAGGAUCCCCAUUUUUCAAUGACUUGCAUGAGCUCUUAGUAUAAACAGCUUUCAGAUCAUAACUGGGAAGUUUUUUGCGUCUUGCAGCUCACAAAGUUAGCUGUCCCAUGUGUUGAUGUUUAUUCAUUUAUUUAUACCUCAUAUUAGUUAGCCAUUAAAACAAUAUUUAGGUACUCUACAGGGUUCAUAACAUCAGGGAUAUUUACUCAUUUUUCUGACACUUAAAUAAUCUGCUGUAUAUUGAUUUGUUUAAAGAUAAUUACUAGAACUAAGGUAAGAUUUCUUUCACUGUAAUUAUUAAACCUUUUUUUGGACCAGUGUCAGCCUUUGAUACUACCGAAAAUGCCGUAUUUUGUACUAGCUGUAGUAAGUGUUGUUUGGCAGAAACAACAGAAGGUGCUCUUUUCAUGCAAAGUAUUAAGUCAAAUUAAGCAGAAAACAUCAGCAAUUAUUCAUUUCCACCAGCGAUAUGUAUAUUUUCUAAUCACAUUGUGUAAGAGCAGGACUCAGUCUUUUCUAACGAUCAAGUCAAGCUGUUUGAGAAAAUUGUAAGGAUGAAAAUGAAACUCUACUGUGUAGCUGCUUUAGCUGAAAAUAGAUUAUUGGAGAUAAUUGAAAGUGCCAAAGUUCUUGUGUGCAAUUUAUAGUAACUCCUAACAUGGCAUAGUAUCCUUUGUGUAGGUUUAAGGACUGCACUCGUCUCAUUUGCAUCGUCUCUUGUUGCACUCUCAAAUCAAGGAUCCUAACCUAACCCUCACCUCCACCUCUUGCGCUGAAGUAGGGCUGCCUGAGAGCUGAUGAAGUGGAGUCCAUUUUCAUGUAACAGAGAGGAAAUAAGGGAACCUCCUCAGGUGCUAUCAUGCACUGGGUUAUUAGGUUCACUGGCUCUCCAGAGGAAGAGAUGAAGAUUAAUUUCAUGGAGGGUUCAGUAACUCUGCCGGGUUCACAAAUAAUGGGAAUUCAAGCUUGUACUGUAGAAUUGUUUUAGAAUUAAAGAUAUAGCAAAAAAAAUAAAUCCGCAUGACAUUAUGAGUAUCUAGUAUUUGUAUUAUUAUUGGGGCUUUAUUCAUAAUGAGCUCGAAUUUAAGUAUCCGAUGAGUAAAGUGUUGGGAGUGUAUAUGUUUUGAACAGUAAAUUAAAUACACACAGAAUAAGAACUUCUCAGUAAGGCCCCGUUUUCACAGGCAGCUCAAUGAAACUUGCAAGCAUUGACUAGUAAUAAUCACCUCCAUCCACACAAAAGCAAAUAAAUGGAGAGAGAGAGAGGGAGAGCUCUUUAGUCUAUCUUUCCUUUUCUGUCUGCAGAAACAAGCCUUCUAAUCCAAUUAUACCCAGAGAAUCAUGUCUGAAAUCAGCCAUUGUUGUGUCAUCCUUAUGGGAGCUGCAUGUACUCAAUCAAUGUUGGGACAGAAUUUGCAAUUUAAAUGACCAAAAAGACUCAGUCGGAGGAGAAAUUUUGUCAAAGUAAACCACAAUUUUGGUUGCAGGUUGAAGACAUCCAGGCUGAAAUACUGCUCCAGGUGCUCUUCAUCUCAGAUCCUGGUUUAUUGUUCCCCUUCUGAGUAAUUCUCCAUCAUAUUCAGCCUGUUUUCAGUGAUACUCAGUAUGCAUAUGAACAUCCUUAUAUGACCUUAAUAACUGUUAGCAAGGAGCAAGUUGGAAUUGCAUGAGCUGAUGCCUUUUUGUAGUGAUUUUUGUUGAGCUGUAUUAUAGAACUGCAUGUUUAUCAGACUCCAACAUGAUGAUUUCAGGCAGCACGGUUCAAAACUAGGUCCAACAUUUCACCUUUUGUGUGGGAUUAUUGUGGAUGGCUCGGGGCAGGUAUGUGAGAGAGUUGCACUUUCCAACAGAAACACGCAAGAAAGUACAGAGAGAGAAGUUUUCAACUCUUUCCAUUUUUUUAAAACUCAUAAAAAAGUUGAUAAGACAAUGUCACCAGUGUGAAAAAUUCUGUAUCUGUUUUAAACCACUUAUUGAUUGAUCUCUUCCUCCAACUAAGUUUUAAAAAGUCCAGAUUGAAAGUAGCAGUAGUCUCCUUUGCUCCCUGUAUCUGCCAUAAUACAAUAAGAUACAAUAGAGUAUGAUAGUAUACAAUACUAUAUUAUGAGCUGAUAUGAUAUGGUUUGAAAGGAUGCAGAGUAACACUGUGAUGCAAUAUGAUAUCUGUUUUGCUGCAAAAUGGCAUGAUGCAAUGUUAAAUAUGGUACAAUGUGAUGUGAUGCAAUUUAAUGCAAUAUCAUUUGGCACAAUACAAUGCAAUAUGAUGCAGCAUAAAAGAUGCCAUCCAUGGCCCACAAUUGUGUAGUAUCAUGAGAGAUACAACAAAUCUACAGUACUAGAUAUAGUAGUGCAGGAUGGAUGUAUUGAUUGACUAUACUGUGGUUUUGUUUCAGUGAGAAAAACCUAUUUGUAUGAUAAUAGUCGGUUGGUUAAAUUUAGGGUACUUAGUCUAUCAGUGAAAUCUUAAUGCAUGUUUUCGUGCUUCACAGUCACUCAGUGACUCAGUGUCAGUGAACCUGUUUGCAUUUUUACUCAAACUGUAAAACACAUUUUAUGUAAACCUGGAUAAAUGUAGCCCACCAGUAGCAUUUGCAGUCAUAUUUACCAUGGCCUGGUGCUUCUCAGUCAGCCCCUAUUUCUUCUUAGCUUUCAUCAGUGAAACUUCUGCAAUGUUAUGCCCCAACUACACGAAUGCGGAUAUAUUUCAAACCGCACAUAUUUAUGUCCAAUCGGGCCUCCCUACCACACCAAAACGGGAGUUUUGAACACUCAAACAGGAUAAGUCUGAAUCCGAAAAAACAAGUGGAGAAAUAAAAAAAUAUCCGUCCAAGUGGUUUCGUGUGGUUGAGCUUUUACGGAUCGAUGACGUCAAACCGCAGCUUGCGCAUGCGAAUUAAAAAGAAAAACAACAACAACGAUGGCAAACAUACAGGGUAUUCUUUACGUUUGUUUUGCUCCUAUGGGGCUAAUUUCAGCCUUUCAAGUGAACCUUGUUUUAUACAGUUGUUUGUUUUACAUCCACCAGUCAGCCAGCUCACAGAAGCGUCUGCUGCGGCCAAUACUUUUAUUGGUCACAUGGUUCCGUCACAUGGACCCUACGCACUAGCGUAGCUUACGCAAACAAUGCAUGACGCAUGAUGGCCAAUCAGGUAGCUUUGUUCCCGAAUUUUUUUUUAAGCGGCACCAGAUAGGAUUAAGUUUGAAGGCUACGUGUGGACGCAGAUAUUUUUGAGAACGAACAUGUGUGGACAGAUACAUUUAUUUAGACAGGAGUACAAAAAUAUCCUGAUAAAUAAAUAUCUAUAUACGUGUAGUCCGCGCCUUAGUUUCAUGCAUGACGCCGGUUUGUAGCCAGUAGGAGGAAUGCACUUCCUGUUUUGUUGCGGAUAAGACGGGCAGGAGUCUUUUUCACCUGUUACCUUCUUUCAACUUGCACCACUGGGAGUUGUGGGAGAACAGAUAAAAUUGGCACAAACUCUUUGAAAUGCCAUAUUUUUAAUUUCAAUACCUAUUUUGCACCCGUUGUAUUAUUCAUAUUUUUUCCUGCCUCUAUUUGCAAACAAAGGCUUGGAACUCAAGAGAUUUUUGUUCCGGCUUUGGAUCACAUGUUGAGCCAUCAGUGGAGUUUUAUGAGAACACCAUUGUCGCUCUGCCAAAAUCUUUUCUAAAUCUAACAAACAUGACUGUAUUCCUAAAUUUUCUAUCAGAAUUUGUAAUGACAACCAUCCUAUUUUUGUUGGGUGGUGUGAUAAAUCCGGCUAAAAUGGUCUAUUUAUGUUGUUAAUUCAUCAGGCUUGUUGAAGUCCCAUAUGCAGUCGACAAAGAUAAGACAUGUACUUAAAAACUUUUCUUCUUCCCAGUGUCUUCUCAUGCUUUUAUUCAAUCUUCAGUAGCUCUUCUGACAAUGAGCCCUCAGAGGAACACUUUAGAGUUUGGUUUAUCUCUGGGGAUGACGUUUGAUUCAAAGGAAUAAAGUAAAUCACGAGAACCUGUUCAUAAUUUAUUUUCUUUUUCAAGGCACUUUGAGCAAAGUGCAUCGUGAAGUUUUUUGUCAUAAAUAAUAGUGGUCUAAGUAGGGACAAGAUGACGCAUUAAAGUCAGGUCAAGUUCUGUAACUCACAUGCACCACUGCUAAGAGUAUCAGUAAUAUUGGUAAUAAAUUUCAAGAGGGAUUUCAUAGAGAUUUACAUUAAUUAUGACGAUUAUUGGUGCCAAACAUUACAAUAAGCAGCAAUAUUGUUGGAUGCAUUUUAAACAUACUGUAUAUUUUAAUCCAGGUCAUCUGUGUCCUCAGUACUCAGUAGAAUCAGCCAGUGAUGGUGAGUUUUGAUGCCAUGCCUUGAUUGGUUAGAUGAACAAAUCUGAGGUCUUUCCAUUCAUUUCGUUCCUCAUAGCACAACUCCAUAACAGGAAGUGUUGUUUGAAGGCACUCUUUGCAAAAAAUUGUGCCAAGCUGUACAAUACUUCAAUCAUGUUAGUGACUGACUAGAAGCUGGUUGAAAUAAAUGGUUGAUUAGCACUCUGGCACUCUUAACUAUUAGUUCCUGAAACAAAUGCUUCUCUUUUAUACGGCAUCUAUAAAAGUGUCCUUCAGCAAAGACACAUUGAAACAUUCACUAUUGAGACAUGUGUCUCCUGGGAGAAUUGCUGUUAUUGGUUUUGCAUCACAGUUUCUAUUUCAAUACUGUCUGGUAAGUAAACAUUUUGGAGCACUGGUUCAGUGAUAAAACAUGAACAGGCUUAGCUGAACUAUCAUACUGGGAACAGGCAGGAUAGUGAAAAUGAGGUAUUAGAUAGGACUGCACAGUUGCACAGAAACUGCACAUUGCUGACUGGAGCAGGCUUAUAAUCCAAAUUUUACCAAAGUUAGAGCAAUAAAUCUGCGUUUUUGUGCAAGUCUUUCCAGAUUUAGCAUUCUGAGUUUGCAAAUAAAAGAUUUCGACACAAAUCCAAUCUGUCCUCCACAGUCUAAAUAUAAUCUUCACAUUUUAAACAUCAUUUACAGGGUAAAGUAGGUAUAAAGUAAGAAAUCCUGCUCAGGUUCAAUCCCAUUUUUCAUGUCUAAAGACUGAUUUCAUUUCGAUGGUAAAGUGUUUUGUCUGCUUUUGCCAGAGUAGAUUAAACAGACUCACACAGAAAUAAACAGAAACAUUUAGCAUAAGAACAAGCUGUAAGUAAAACCGCUGCUUCUCUUCCUAUCUUCCUCCUCCAAAGGAUUUUUUUUUUCUCCACUUUAAAAUUUCUGUGUGCUCAAAGCUGAAUGUUAGCUAAUUAUUUUUGUAUCUUUCACUAUGGCUGGAGGCGCUAUCAGACUUAUAUGCAUGCAGUCGAGAUAAGAGCUUAUUGGCAGACAGAAGCGGACGAUUUUUAAUCAUAAAUACGAGCGGCUCCUCUCAUCAAAGUACCACUGUCUGUAGUUUGUCUAAUCUGGUCUUUCCAAACUCACCCCUCUGCCUGUGUUGAACCAACACGAUUUUAUUUCUCUCUUUCUCCCACCCCCUUGUCAGUCACUUUUUUCUUUCCUGUCUUCGUUUUUGUGUUAAAGAAAGCACAGUUUUCUUUAAAUGUCUUCCCCGUGCGUUGGUGAUGGCUCCCCUGAAAUUUUGGUAGCUUCAUUGUAGAAAAUAAUUUGUGUCACAAAUAAGGAAACAACUGGCUUUUGACAAUGAGAAAAAAAAAAGUAUUCCACAAUAUGAAGAGAGCUUUUAAAGCUAUUUUUAAAGUAAUAUUGAAGUUUUCUCCAGGCUGUCUUGUUGUGUUAGGGGUCAGAUUAGGCUGCUUUUGUGUUCCCGUAUCUGAACAGUGUGUCAAAGCUUGUCUGCCAGAAACAGCGAAAAGGCAGAGUGAAGACAGAAGAGAGAAAAAAAAAAAGGCUCAACUUUCACUGAACUUGCAUCCGACUUUGCAUACUGUAGUGAUAAUAAAAUGAUGACACUAACAGGAACAGUUACAGUCGUGUUUGUUUUCCAGCUGUCAUCCUGCAGGCCUUGUUUGACUUCUUCUUAAUGCCACUGUUCAUUUUUCCGCAGUUAUGAAAUGUCGACCAUCUCCUUUAAAACAAAUAAACUUAUAUGAAAAGAAUAUAAAGACUUCUCUGAACUACUAAUGAGGGGGAGGGCUCAUAUUACACAAAUGAAUGACUGAUGGUGUCUGCGACCUUACAGUAAUGUUAUUAACUGAAGGAAACGCUCCCUCUUUAUCAUUUAACAGAGACAUCUGAACUCAAACUGACAUUCUCUGCUGAAUAUUGACUGCUCAGUUCAGCCAUUAAAGUGACUACAGUACUUUAUGUCAUAUCACAUCUCUCUCCUUUCGUACCUUUAUGGCUGCUUUUCUCACGCUGGAGGGCACAGGCAUCAAGUUAAUCAUCAGUUAUAUUGAAAUGUCUGCAUAACUUUACAGCUGCAGACUCACAUAUUUUUUAGAAACUGUAUUCUCUCUUCAGUUUCUCAAAUAGCGAAAAGCUUUUGUGUGUUUGUUCUCACUGUAAGAGUUAUCUGCUCAAAAUAUUCCAAAUUAAAGUUCCUGGAAAGAGUACUUAAAAAAAGUCAACCUCUUGGUCCAUUGUCAUUUAUUAUAAGCCCCAAUACUUAACAAAUGAGAAAGAAAUAUUUUCAAUUAACUUGUAAUAGAUUAUUCACCACAGGCAGCUUGGAGACACGCAGGGAUAGCAAUCAGAGUUUUGGACAAGGAUCACCAGUUUCAAGACUAAAAUGCACCAUUAAUGUUAAAUCAAGCGAAAUCUGAGGUGAAGAGGAGUAGGUGGUGUUGGAUCUCAUUAUUCUUGCCUUAUGUCCUUGGACAAGAAAAGGGACAUUGAGAGCAACUUUAGUACACGAUUAGUUGAAAAACUUAACAUGAAACUGUAAAGGACCAAGAAACCAGGCAAAGGACAAAGGUGUGGAAAAAGAUCUUGAUCCUUAAGUUUUACCCCGAAAAAGCCGAAAUCGAUAUUAAAAUAUCCAAUUUAAAGUCUGGGCCCACACUAAAAGAGGUCAACUCUAAAAGUUACAACCUAGCAAACAUAGUCAAACAGACCUACUAAGUGAUACGUUGGGAGUUUAAAUAGACAAAGGACUAGUCCAACAUAAACACAAGGGGGAAACUAAGGUGACUACAAACUAAACACCUAACAAACUCAGAAAAACACCAUCAAAUUAUCCAAAUCAACUACUUGCAGAAAAAAAACAAAACAAACAAACAAAAAAAAAAACUAAAUAGUCUGUUCUGACUGAAAGUAUUAAGACAAUAGUUUUACAAAGAAUCAAAAGUCCAAGCUUCUCCUUCCUUCCCCCUUGAUGGUCUGUCCCACUUCCUGUGGGUAGGUCUUAAGAGGCCAUCUUGGAGCCGCAGACAGCCUUUUGCCAGGUGAGCCAGAGCAAAGACAAACAAAAAGGUAUUACUUUGAAAUGACAUAAACUCAAAUUGAAUCAUGAUGUAGAAAAUUAAACUAUGUAACAGUUUGUUGUAUGCACCCAAUAAAUGCAAUAAAAGUCAAUUUAUUUUAACCAAAUAAAGGGUGUAAUAUGAUUUCUCUAAACUGAAACAGAUUUACUGUGUUUAAGCCCAAAGACAAAGAAAUACUAACACAAGGUUGUGAUUGAGAACCCGUCACAAGAAAAUGUUCAAGACGUUUGGUGUCAGUACUUAAUUUCUUUGAGUUUAUUAACCUCUAGAGUUAGUUUAACUAAAUGCAUUAUGUUCCGCUAACAAGACACCACCCCUGAUCAACAAGCUCAUUGCACACGUAUAAUCCUGCAAUGAUGAAAUAUUGCUGAACAAAGGCAUGUAAGUUUGUCAUUCCCUAUUACAUUAAAUUGAAGGUUAAAUGUCCCAAUAUAUCACAUCCCUCGUCUAUGAUUCGCACUCAUUCACACACUGCUGCUGACUACUUCACGUGGAGCAAUUUGGGGUUGAGUGUCUUGCCCAAGGACACUCCUGCCCACUGCAGGAGCUGGGGUUCAACUGCCAACUUUCUGAUGAAGAGACAACCACCACUGAGCUACAGCUGCCCCCAUUUUCUAUGUGGUGUUUUAUUCCUCCACUCUUCCUUGUCCUGUUAUACGCUGUGUGCAGCCAUACCUCUGCCCUGUGCUGCUAUAUGGGAUAGAAAUAGGUCUGGCUGUGGAAGACGAACUAUUAUCUGCUUGUCUCUGGUACAGAGUGGCACUUUAACACUUUCCCAUCUGUCAUUAGGUUGUCUUUAGGGCCCAGACAGAAAUCUGUCCUACUCCUGCUUCAUUUCUAACUGGUCAGGCGGUGAGGCUACUCAUCAUACAGCAGGACUGACUGUGAAAAACAAAGCCUGGAGCACAACAUUGAGAGUGCUAAACCUUUUUUUAUGGGCAUUCAAAACCAAAUGGGGAUUUCUUUGCUUUUUAAAACAGCCUCUAGUGGACAUUUGAGGAACUGCAGCUUUUUUGCACUCCCACACUGGCUUCAUUUUUCAUUACCAGAGGUCACAGCUUUAUCAGUGCAGAUGCAAACAUUGAAACGAACACUAUCAAGGAUGCAGUCACACUUUGCUUGUGUGUGCACUGUGUAAUCAUUGUCUUGCCAGCUGUCAUUGCUGUUGCAGAGUGUAGUUCUCUCAGCAUGCCGGCUUUUUCCGGAGGGUAACGGCUCCUGUCUCAUUUCAUUUACGGCUGUGAGCAGUCGUGUCUUAAUGGCAAUUAGCUUCUCAGUGAGGGAGAGUGAUGUAAAGAAAUAGUCCAUGAUGACAUUCCUCCAUUUGAUGGUGAAACCUCAUGAAGAUGCAUCGCUACACAGUCAGACGCAAAAACAGCUUUUUACAUCUGAAGGUCAUAUGCUCUGUGUGUGUUUUUGGUCCAAAAAUCUGAUGCUGAAUUGAUUUUUGCUUGAUGUGUUCUCAGUAGUUUGGCAUCAAUGUGUCAUUUGGCUAAACCGAUCAUCAGCUGUUACUUUUAUUAUUGGCUUAAACAGCAAACAUAUUCCUGCAAAAUUUGUUCCAAGUAACAAAAACUGUUUGAUCUAGCUCCAAUGUGAAAAUCUCCCCCAUGACACAGGGGAGAAAUAGAGGUGAAAGCUGUUUUCCCGAGAUCCAGCCGAGUUUGAACCCUUAGACUUUAUACUUUCAUUUAUAAUCAGGGUUCAUGUAAGUUAAAUAUUGUUGGCUAGAGUGAGAAAACAAGUGUAAUCCAUAUAGCCUCAACAUACAUCACAAUAAACCGCCACUUUGAUUUUUAACAACACCCAAAAGUAAAUUUUAUUGCGCUCAUUGUGUUGAUGCGAGUAAGUUGUUUGCUGUGCACUCAGCUGUUUGAGAUAGUGUUUUUCCUUUUGCCACACUAAUCUGUUUCCUCCAAAAUCCCAAUUUCUAGCGUGCUUGAAGGUCUGAAAGUCAUUAAAUCUUGGACAACUGUUACACUUUAUCUACUUGUUCACUUUCCUGAUUGUUCGUCAGAUCGCUUGCUCGAUUUUCCUUCGGUUGAGUUUAAUAUCCUGCCCCCAUGUCUUUUCACAGGACCGAGCCUGUGUGCAGGGACAGGACACACAUCCCUCUGCUGUUGUUUCUGCUCCGGUGAGUUAACAUCACCUCUACCUCCGCGGGUCUGUGUGUGGCUUGUAUGUGUCGUCUUUUACUGCAGUGACCCACCUGCUGAUGAGAAAGAAAGGAAAAGGUAGAAGAAAAGUGGUUGAAAUGUUUCUUCUAAAGCAGCUGAGAAUCGGCUGAUCUGAAAAACGAUUUCUUUUUAAAUCAAUAAUGUUCAGUAAUGGAUGUGGCCCAAGGACAGAUGGCAUAAUCUAUUUUAUGGGCUUAUAACUUGGUGUUUAAAAGACUCCUUUAUUUAUGACAUGUCUACUUAGUGGAACAUCCGUGGGCGGUCAAGUAAUAUUUGGCAAAGGAGGAUUAUUGAGGUACAGCGAGCUUGAGUGUGGAAGAUAAAGACAUUAGAGAAAGGGAAAGUAAAAAGCUUCUUAAAAUACUUCUAUUUUCUGAGCUUAUGGGCAUUGUUAGUUUUUGUGGAGGUUAAAUGAGGUACUGGUGGGAUUUCUCAAUUGUUUACACAGCUGUAUGGAACAGUAUUUGAGGCAAAAAUGUAUAAGAAAAAUCCCCCAAGAAACAAGAGAGGAGACACAGAUUACAGCCUGUUAAUUUACAGUCUAUAUAUGUGUGUGAGUUAACUAGCUGACUCUUUAAUUAUCUUUUCAUUAAAAAAGUAUCCUGAGCAUCAAAAAGUGAUUAUGAGCAGGUCAGAGUUUGCACUCCAAACAAGGACUUGCCAGAAAUAGUUGAGUUUGGAAAUCAGCGGCUCUGCCUAUUAACGACAAUGAUUGUGGUGAUAGCGUGUGAACUCCUGCUCACCUUCCUGCUUGUCACUAAAAACCUGUUCAUUUGCAGCAGCUGCAGAUAGCACCCACACACAGAGACGCACACACACACACACACACACACACCAUCCACUCACACAUGCUCAUCUGUGGAUCCGCUGGAAUUGGUAAUGACACGAUCCAUCUCUAACCCGUUUCCAAUUCAGCUGUGGGAAAUGAGAUAGGAUGGUAAUGGAAUCUCAUUGAUCUGAGUUUGCUCUCAUGUUUAUGGUCCAUAAGUGUGGAAGUCAUUUCUAAUGUUCUGUCCCACACUGGAUCUCUUUGCAUGGUCCCGUGCUUUUGCUGAGGCUCCAUCCAGGGUUUAUGACGAACCGGAUAUGUGAAAUGUAGUUUUUUUUUUUUCAACACCAGCUGCUAACCUGUGUUUAAUUAGCCUUAAAAACAGGCUGUCAAAAGUUCAAACCUGUAAACUUUUAAUUCUCUUUAUGUAGUCCAGUAGCAUUUCUACAGUCAUGAAUUGUCCAAUAUGUUAGAGGAGUCUGUCAGGG